GUCGUACCCAGUGCACAAGGCUCCCGCUUUACGCAGGGUCUGGGAGAGGUGAAUGUCGGCUAGCCUUACCCCCAUUUUAUGGAGAGGCUGCUCCCAACCAACAAGAUGAAGUGUGUGUGUGUAAAAUCCAUUGCACACACAUUUAAAACAUGCAAAAUGCCGGAUCAAAAAAUAACGUUCUUGAGCCAAUGAAAAAUUGGUUUAAGAUGAAACGAGGAACUUGGCGCACCUUCUUAUGGAGAGCCUCACGUGCACCACCAGGAUAAAGCAGUACAUGUGAUUUUGUUUUAAGCAAUUUGAAUAGGUUUUUUGCUGCGACAGGUACUGCACCGAAUAGUUUGAGAACGUCAAAUUGGGCCGAGGUCCCGUUCUUGCCCCAAAACAGUUCUGGAUGUGCUAAUCCACGAACACUUAUGCUCUUCUCUCUUAAAAAUUCUUCAACUAUAGAAUUCAGUUCCAACCCCAAUAAAUUGUGAUAACCAACAAGUAAGACAGGUCCUUCGUUAGGAACUCCAGCAAGACCUCUCACUAUUUUCCCAUCUUCCAACGUUGAGAGCAUUACGGAAGCAGUAGCUAGGCUUAAUAAUCUGACAUUCAUGUAUUUCACUAUCAGCUCUGGCCCCAAACCAAUAAAUAUGUUAAUGGAUGCAACUUAGCGGGGUUCAGGUUAGGUGCAAGUGAAACCCGACAUGAUGUAUCUAUACUACCAAGUACAAUUUGGAACUAACAUGCCUGGAAAUCUGCAUCACAGAAGACGAAACUAACAAAUAAAAGAAAAGUAAAAGUGUUGAACUGACUUACCUGAAUUGUUUAUCAGAUGCAUUUUUCAAUUCCCACAUACUAGGAGGAAGAAAAUCUGAGACAUAAUCAUGCUUCCUUGAACGACGGUAUUUGUAAGUGCCUUUUAUAACUGACAUCAAAUUAACGCCAUCUUCCUGUAACAUGACAGUAGAGCACAUUCAAUCACAUUAGUGUCUUCACAAGUCAAUGGCACCCGAAAAGUAAAGCUUAUAUUACACAGGAACAGCAAAGUAUAGCGAAAUUUGCAUCAAAGAAAACAAAAUUGUUGUCACAGUAAUAGUGUCUAGUGUCCAUUGUCAAAUGGGCAAUUGAUAUCCCGAGAGAGUUCUUGAAGCCAAAACUCAAUCUUUAUUCUUUAACUAGAGAUUUUAUCCAACUUGGGAAUUAAUAAAAGGGUGUUGAGUUCAAAGAACAGAUUCAACAAUAUUCAAGAAAAGAAAUAAAACAGUUUACUUAAAUCAUAUCCAGAAUGCGCCUUGGUUAUUAAUUUAAAGUUAAUGUUAUUAGCCAUUAUCCAACAGACAAAUUGAAGCCAACUUAAAAAUAAAAUUCACCAUCAUCAGUCCAAUGUGUUGCAUACUUACAUCUAUGCAGUUUAAACAAAAUCAUUAAGGGCAUUGAUUUCACAAUGUAUGCUAAACACAUCAUUAAACUUGUCAUCAAUGAUGACAGCUUACAGAAAAUUCAGUAGCAUUUCACCAGACUUGUAAUAAACAGACAUAUUUUAACUUACUAGUAAUAGAGUAUGUCCAUUGUCACUGAAGUGUCGGACUUUACAAUUCUGUAAUGAACGUGCUAGUCGUUCUGCUUCAUCUCGACUUGGAACCAUAUAAUCUUUGCCACUGAAAGAAAAUAAAAAUAAAAAAUCUACACAAUUUUACAAUAAUCAUUUUUAUUACGAGUGAGAGAGAACCACAAUAGGUAUAGUGAAUAUUAACCUAGCCAACACUAGCACUUCAGCUUUAACAGCAUGGAGACGCGAAUUUGCAUAAGCAGCAGCUGAUUUGAGCAGCUUCAGCUUCCAAAGAAGAGUGUCCCUCGGUAUAAUAUCAGCCAGAGACUGAGACGGAAAUGAUAGAAGUAAAUAUUGAAAAUAAGAUAGAAUCCACACCUGUAGACAUUUCAACGAAGUUCAAGAAAAGGAAUUGAAAGCAGUUCUUACAGAGAGAUAUGGUAGCAAAUCAGUCAGGUUGCGAGACAAUUGUGUUAACUUUAAACUGGGAGGAAGCCUAUUUUCAAUGUUAACCAUCGCCAUUUUUGUUGGAUCACCUGGUGGAAUGAAGGUUUAACAUAGUGACAUCAGAGUUCUUGUAUUUGGCAUUGGAAAACAUAGGGACUUGAAACUGCAAACAGUUGUUUCUGACCAUGACACGCUCGCGGAACUUUCCCGGAAAACUAAGAUCCAAAAUUUUUUAAAACUGCUUCCAACAAAUAUAUAUAUGGCUCCCAAUCAACAUAACAUUCAGUACAAGCUAAUGCAAUUUACCGCCGUAUCAAAACCUUCUAAACCAAUUAUUUAGUUCAAAAAUUCAGAAGCUUAUAUUUCAAAUCAUAAAACCUAUUAAUAUAUAAUCCUAAUAACCCAAUUCUCUAGGAAACCAACAAAAAUGAGUUUUCUUGUGAACUGAAAAACAUAAUCUUAUUGACCCCACCAAAUUCCGAAUAUAAAGUAUCAUAUUCUUUUUUACUCCUAGAUUAACAAUUUGAUAGUAAAAUUCAAUUUUCGUUACUGGGCUCCUUCCUGAUCGUAUUGACCAGAUUUGUUCCCAUGAUAAGCUAUAGUCUAAAUACUCACAUUAGCAUUUCAGACUGUAAGAAAAUUGAGACAAAAAACUCAUUGGCUACGACACAGGGCUCAAAACUAGUCAAGUUUCAUAACCGGACUUGCAAGAAGACAACAAUAAAGCAUUUCUACGAUUCUUUUUAGUCAAGGGACGAUAAUGGAGGUCGUAAUCCUGGAUUGGCAGCACCCCAAGAGAAUAAGCAUUCCACAUGCCAAAGUAACACAGUUAAUUGAGACAGGGUUGAAAGCACAGUCAAGGGCCAAAUUAGAAAUGACUUAUCUCACUUCACCAUAAAUUUUUUUGUUAAUUAGAUUCCAGAGCAACAAAUCACGUACCCAUAACAAAGCCAAGUAGAUAGGGAACUGCAAAAUGUAAUUCAUCAGGCAUAGCCUCCAAGAUUGGGAACAGAGGUUGCAGCUGAGACCUUUCAACUGAUGUUGCUACAAUAAAAAACACCAAAAAUGUCAGACUGAGUUGGUGUGUUGAAUACACGCCAUUAGCAUAAUAAAAAUACAUGUUGAAGAAAAUUGAACCGCGCAACUUAUAACAAACCUGGAUUGACUAGUAUCAGUACUAAAUCAAUGGUAGGAUUAUGUGCAGCAACAGCAAGUGACAGGCAUCCUCCGAAGGAAUCUCCUACCAAGUAAAUUGGCUUGUUUGGACAUAAAGCAUGCUCAAGCCUGAUAGUUUCUACGACAAAUUUCACCAGCCCUUAACAGAUGAAACCAAACUAAAUUAUUGAUUGAGAGCGACAUUUUAUCAAGUAAAGAAAAACAAAAAUGAUACUUCAUACAUAUAUAAAGAAUUUCAAGAUUAAGACCUUCAAAUGGUGUUCGAUCAUUAACAGGAAUAUGCAGGCAUCGAACUUCAAAAGCCCUGCAUUUUUCAACGAAUUAUAUCAGAAGCUGCUAGAAAUAGUUUACCUCCAAUUUCAGAGCUAAGAACCUGAUUUUUAGCGCUACCAUAUUUCUCUAUCAAGAACAACCAUUUAUUUGAGUGGAAUUUCGCCAAGAAAAACAUAGUUUAUUAAAAUUGAAGAUAAUGGUUAUCUUACUUCCCAAGAUCCUAACAAAAUUUUGUAAACUACAACAAAUAAAUAAAUUGAAAAACUUACUUCCCAAGAGCUUUAUGGUGCAAAAUGAGGCCCCAGCCAGUACCAUCCAGCCCUGUAUAUGCACAAUACCAAAAGGAUUAUGCAGCAGUCUGUACUAUAAAACUUCACCCAUUAAUAAAGACAAAACAAACACAUUUUACGCAGAUUUAUGUUGUUUAGCUAUUCUACAUAUAUAGACAUAUCCUUUGAAUGCAAAUCACAGUGCCAACAUUAGAGACCAAGUUGUGAUUUAUCAUCUUUGGCACGCCAACAAUUACCAGGCAAAAACAAAAGAAUCGGAGAAUCCUUUAAUGGGCGCCCGCACGCAUUGGGAGAAAACCACCGGGGAGGUCCACCGUCAGGCUUAAUCAUCUCCUUGUUUGCAUGAAAAUAAUCUUUUACAGUGACAGUCCCAUACCCAUCAUCGUACAAAGGUUUCAACCUUUCAAGACCACCACCAUCCUCCACCCUCUUCUCCUCCUCCUUAACUUCAAACCUCAAACUCCCAUUCCCUCUCCUAUCCUCCCUCUCCUCGAUUGCGGAAGCACCAUUAGAAACAAAUGAUUCUGAUGACAACACUGGUGAAUCCCUACUAUCUAAACUCCUAACCUGCACUCGAAACCGAAGCUUAUUCUCCAAAUUCAGCACACAAAAAUGCGGACCCGGAAAGCCUAUAACUGAUGUCAUGGCUUCAAGCAAAAUGCAAAAGAUUAUAAACCCUUUUCCCAAAAACUCACAGAAUUCAGAAACUUUGGAACUCUCAACAAAAACUAGCACUUGGGGAACACCUUAGGUCCUUAACAGAAUGAACAAAAACUGCCGAAUUCAGGACAUUCCCUUAAACCACUCCAGCAGAAACAACCAUGCAUUUAGCACAACAGAAACCUUCCGGCACACUAAAAAAUGGGCACGAAAGUGAGAUUUGAAGCAGACCCAGAUAGCUUACUAGAAGAUAUAGCCUCUAAAACACCUAAAGUCUUGAACUUUCCUCUAAUUUAACAAUAACUGGCAACAAAAUAUGGUAAAAGAAAUGCUCAAAAGGCAAUGUGAACAAAUUGCAGCAAAUUUUUACGGUGCAGAAAAAUAUGGAAAUGAAAUUAUUGGGUGAUAAUCUGCAUUGUACCGGAUGUGGGUCUGAGUGGCAGACCCAAAUAGGUGAGUUUUGUCCAUUUGCUUUAUUGCUCUGGUUGCUAUUAGGCCACAUGGGUCAUCUGACGCUGUGACGUUCGCAAUUCUGGAAGAAGGGGAAGCUCUAUCAGUUAUAAAACCAGUAGUUAACGGUGUGUGACCAGAAGAAGAAAAAGGAGAAUUACAAGGACUUGGUGGGCAAAAAUGGAAGUGUAACUUCGGGAAGGUGGUACUUCUACUUCUACGGUCUUACGACUCUUACCAGUGAGUCCGAGUGUCGCUGUUAUCGCCAAAUGCAGACAGUACGAAAAUGUGCUGUGACGAGAACAAUCGGCACGAAAAGAUCUUUACUUUAUUGAGACCAAGAGAGGAGGCAGGAUAUUUUCUUGUGAAAAAGCAGAAAUAAAAAUAACCUUUCAUAGGUAAUCAAAUACGAAAUUAUUACUGCAAAAUUGUUACAAAAAAACAAAAUGAUUACCGAAAAAUUUGACUUUUGAGUGUCACCCACUUUUAUCUAGAACUUUUAUUGUGUGACAGAAUAUGAGGGUGAGAGCCGUGAGAUAUCGCAUUCACAUAUUAUAAUACAGAUUGCAUAAAUAUAUAGAUAUUUUAUUUAUCACAAACGUUACGCGCCUCUAAUAUUUUUUUAAAAUGUGUUUGAUAAUGUAUAAACAAAAAUUGUGUUAACUUUUAGUUACAGGGCACAUGUCACAUUUUUUUCAAGUUGUCAUGACCAAAUAAUGAUGAUAUGUUUUGAUACAUUUAUCUAAAACAAAAGAUUAACAAUAUCUACGUACUAAAACAUAAAGCUUACUUGUAACGUGAUGUUGUCAUUACCAAAUAAUAGUAUCUUUAAUCAGGAAUGCUAAUUUUCAAACACGAUGAAUUUUAUUCUUACCUUUUACCCACAACAUCUUCCUUAUCGUUUUUGUGUGUUCUCAUCUUUUGCUUUUACUAUCUAAUCCCAGUAAGAUUAAUCUUGGUGUAUCAACACGAUUUGUGGCCAUUAAAACCUAUAUAAGGUGCAUUUGAAGAGGGUGGCUGUCAAUUAAACGAAAAAAUUAAAGAGUCAUACAUGAUUAGUUGAAUUGCACAAACAACAGCAAAUGUCGAUAAUUCUCUUAAAAUUGAAAACUCAAAUAUGCUUAAAAUAAAACAAAAUGACAUCACAGGCCAUAAGAAGCCAAUUUAGGGCUUGUUAAUAAUUCUCUUAUAAGUGUGUCACUACUACAAAACCAUUUAAUAAUGUCGCUAUUAUAACCGACAAAAAACAACUAUUACUGUCGGAUAUUAAGCAAAAUCCGACAUAAAAUGAGUGCAGUGGCGGAUAUAUACUAAGUGACAUAAUUGCUAAUUUUCUGACAAAAAGUACACUAAAACCGACAGAACUUUUAUGUUGAUAAUUCUCUUAAAAUUCUCUUAAAAUAAAUCAAUAAUUCUCUUAUAAGUGUGUGUAAAUGACUUUUUCGACAAAGCUCCGCAGAGUUGAAGAUAGAGCAAACCUACAUUUAAUUAGACAAACUAGUCUUGAUGCACUCGCUCUUGUAAAUAAAGUAGCAAAAGCCAUAGUGAAAAGAAAGCAAGGAUAGGGAGAAGGAGACCCAGAGACCACCGGAGUAAUAAAUCGGCCACGCUCCCCUUCGCAGCGGCCUCCUCAGAAUCCACUAAGCUUGGUAUAUUUCGUAAAUUAAAGAGAAUUCGUGGGUUCUUCUGCAAAAGGUCCGGCCACCGGAACCAUUUAUCCGGUGAUCGGAAUACCCCAGUCCCCAAGAGCACUGAACAGAAGGAAGAAGAGGAGUUAUUGAAUUUUUUUUUUCUUUUUCUUCGUCGUUUCUGCAGAAGAUUCAAAUGAACUAUUUGGUCGCUUCGCUUAUUUUAUCUUCUUUUUUUUCCAAUCCUGUUUUUACCUCUUAAUUUGUUUAUAUAUGGCUGGUUUUGUGGAAACUAUCCGUGAUAACAAAACAAAACAUAAAACUGAAGUAAAUGGAACAGUUGUAUUGAGGAAAACGUGAGAGCGGUUGUGUGUUAGAGAGACGAAGGGCUGGUUUGGUUUUGCUGUGCUUUGAAAAAAAACUGUUGUGAGAAUAAGCGACUGUGAAAUAAAUCAGCAGGGUGUUUGGUAAACUUUUUUGUAAAAAUGCUUUUGGAAAGAAAAAAAAAAGCAGUUUGAUAGUGGGUCUUUUCAUUAAAAGAGCACUGUAGCUCCGUGUGCUUUGAAAAAAAAAACCUGUUUUCCAAAUCUACAAAUAGCAGCUUCAGCUUUUUCCUUUGAUUUCAGCUUAUUCUCACAGCAGCUUCCAAAAUAAGCCAUUUUUUUUCAGUUUACCAAACACCUAAAACCCUCACAGCUUUUUUUCAUGAAUGUUUUUUUUUUAAACACCUCACUCCCAAACCACCUCGAAGAGGAAGAAGAAAGGGGUCGUGGGUUUUUAUCUUCUCUUUUCUUUUUCUUUUUCUUUUUGUUAUUUUUUAAUUUUUUUUUGGUUUAACAUAUUUUUCUUUUUUGUUUUUCACAAAAGUGUCUCUGCUAUUUUGUUUCUAUUAUUUUCAGAUGGUUGUGAAUUUUUUUGUUUGAGGGGCUUUAUAGUUCAAUUUUUUUUUUUUUUUUUUGUGAAGCUUUAAGACAUCAAAUUCUCAUUCUGACUUUCUAAUAUUAAAGAUUGUUAAUGAGCAUAGAAGUAUUAAUCUUUCGCCUAAUUGGAUUAUUGGUUCAUGUGAUAAUAUGAUAGUUAGAAGAUAGCUUCUGUUGUGAACAAAAUAGGAUUUAAGCUCUGGUGGUCAAAUCUGUUAGGAUUUAUACCAAAAAUUGAAAAUUUUGUCAAUUUUUUGUUAAUAUUAGCACAUGAGCCGCACAUAUUAGGCUAAAACAGAACUCUUCAUACACAUAUUAGGCUAAAACAAACAUUUCUGUUAAUAGUUAAGACGUGGGGCUGGUUCACGUGCUAAUAAUUAACAUAAAGUUGACGGAAUUUUCAAUUUUGGGCUAAAUCUUAACAUAACUUAAAUCCUAAUUUUUUUUUUACUACAUGAGCUAUCUUCCAACUACCAUAUCACCACGAAGACUAUUAAUCCAAUUAAGCCUUAAUUUUUCAUGAAUUUAUGAUAGCCUUUUUAGUCAAAAUGGUCAAUUGGCAUACCUCACUUUGAUAUUUAAAAUCGAUAUAAGUGAUCCCUAGAUUAUCAACAUCAAUAAUUUUGAUCAUGCUAUAAAAAAAUCUUCAUAUAAAUAUGCAUUAUUACACCAAUAGAUUGGAACCAUUACGUGGUAGUUUAGCUAUCACACCAAAAAAAUUAUGUCCUCCUAUCCUCGUAACAUGUCACUUUGCCAUAGCACUUUUUUAGUGGUGUUCGAGUCUACCUUAUUAUACAUUUUCUCAAUGAUAAUAGUCAUCUUGCACUUCUUUAUGAUUAAAAUGAACCAGAACAAUAUCGAAUAACAAUUUUAGAGUGGUUAUCAAAAUAUGAGAAAAAGAGUACAUAAUUGUUAAUAACAAUUCCUUUUUGAACUUUCAAGAAUAAAUUUGGUCAAAUAUAAAGAUUUCCUUCCUUUUUUUUACCUCUAAAAUGUUAUUUGGAUGUGAGUAUUCCUCGAUAAAAAUUUAGAGAAUGUUUAAAUAGAAUGCGUUCAUCGUCAUUAUGAUGUUUCCGUUAAAUAAUACAAUCUCAUACGUAAAUUUUUCUCAAAAUAAUAUUGUAUUAUUUGACCAGAACAUUACAUAACGAUAAAUCCGAUUUAUGCAUAUAGUUUCACAAUUAUGAGUGUCCCAAUCCAAUCACUCUUUCCUGAAGUAGACGGAUCAAAGAAAAGCGUAAGGUGUUUUCGUCCACUACCACUAUUACCCUCUUAAGACAAUUCCUGCACGAUUUGUGACCAAGCUUUAGAGCCAAACCCCUAAUCAAUGAGAAAAUGACCAUAGGCCAGACCUAAUGGGACCACUUCCAACUUUCCAAGGGAGGCAGUUCGGUGUCAUUCUCAUUCAUUUUUGUGCGGUCACGGUUAAAUCACGUCAACAUUUUAUAUUAAUUUUUUUAUAAAGAUAAUAAGAUAAAAAACAAUAAGAAUAUAAAAUAUUGACGUAGCUUAACCGUAAACACACAAAUAGGAGAUAAUGAAAAUAACACCCAAACAGGAGUUGGGACAAUCUGCUUCCCUUUCCAAGUCCCAACAUCACCGGCCAGGAAUCGACACGAGUUGGGACGGGAGUACAUGAGAACUUUCGGUCUUUUUGGCAAACAAUUACGUUGUCCAGCAACAAAACAGAGGUUAUUAUUAUUUUUUUUUUAAGGAACAACCGGUGACUUGUCACUGUUAUCCAUCAUUUUUGGGAGCCGGAAAUACUCAUAGAGGCAUUUCAGCAUUUCUUCGCCACAAGUCUAGCUUUCACGCCAGCAUCGAGUUCUGAACCCGAGAUUUGCAGUUUUUAAUUUGAAGAAAGUCUUGUAAUCCGGUCUUUACCGUUGGGUCACCAGCUCAUGGAUACAAAACAGAGGUUAAUUGAAUACUACAAUCUUGAGAUAUUUUUCUUCAAUUGUAAAUAAAAGGUAUUUGGUUCGAAUAUCGUGGAUGACGGAUGCCAAUUUAUUCCUCUAAACGAGAAUGCAAAUCUACAAAUCUUUCAUCAUCAUGCGCCUAAAUUAAUCCGGCCGUUCAGAAGUUCGAAGAAACUUGCUGUUAAUUUCUCAUCCAACGUCGAAAACACUAUCUACCGCCAUGCAGACGACCAAUUGACAAAUCAGCAGCGUCCAGCAAAGCUUCCACAUAAGCAACAAGGCACCUGCCCAACAAGGACCAGGCUAACCAGAGCCUUCUCGGCAAGUUUCGGGAGAUGCCUCUCUAAUGGAUUCGGUAAUCAAUUGAUUUUUCGAACUUUACGAGUGUAUUUCUGAUUACCACGAGGAACCCUAGAAGAAUCAAUGUUUUUCAUUAUCUUAAACAUGAUCAUUUGUAAGUGAAUGAUCUUAGAAUUGAAAAUCGGGAAUAACGAGUUUGCAACCAAUUUUAUUUCAUAUUCCGUUAAUGUAAAUAUAUCGUUUGAUAAAAAACAAAAACGAUAAUCACCUGCACGUAUCAAUCACACAAAAAGCUUUGAACUCCGUAUCGGUAGUUGACAGUCAAAAAUUAAGAUGAGCGUGUGAAAUGUAAAAAUAAGUGUAUUGAUAGUACCCUGGUUUUUUUUUAUUUUUUUUUUUGCGGACGUACUAAUAAAUGUAUUAUGGACACCUUGCCAAUAACUACUAUCUAAUGCUUAAUAACGAGAAACUUUUUGAAGUACCUGGUAUUCAAGUCAGUAUUUAAGUGUCAUAAAACAAAUGAAAUAUCAGCUUGAAUAUCGGAUACUCAGCAAAAAUCCCUCCCCAGUAACAGUUAAAGUAAGUGUAAUAUCAUGUAAGUAGAAUGUCAAUGUGAUAGUAUCGCAAAACAAUCAUACAGUAUCAUGUAGACAAGUUAAAACAUAUAAUAAUGCGUGUUAAACUUGAGAUACGGGUUAUCUUGAUGACUCGGUUGCAUCAAGUCCAUAUUUUCGGUCUCACACACGAAAGGAUAGCUUGGUCCUGCAGAUUCCAUAUGCCAAAAUCCCAUCGAAAAUUUCUCAAAUGAUCUUCAAUUCUGGGUCUGGUUUUUCACACAGAAGGAAUCAAAUAUGCUAUUUCAUUAUAACGAAACCUAAUACGACCUAUCUUGUUAGCCAAGCAAAUUAUGAUAUCCGACGGAAAACAUUACGAGAAUCAUAAAUUUCCUUGGGUUUCUUCUCCAAGUCUCAGACCCCCAAUUUCAAGUUUUCUUGCAACACAAGUUUCAUUCAAUGAACAAAAGACAAUAGGAAGAGAAACAUGGUAAGGUCCAACAAACUUGGGAACAUGAACCAAAACUGAAAAUAAAGCCCAGAUAACAAGGAACACUAGCUGUCAGCUCGAAGGACUCGCGAACGCCAUAGCCGCCAUCACCAAAGUCCAAGCAAAGAGCGUAUACCAGCAGCAGGAAUCCACAAGAAAAAGAGGGCAAACAAAACAACCAACGCAACACCUCCUGCAAAAGCUUCAAAUCAACCAAAACAAAGCCCUAAAAUUGCAAAAAAGAGGAAAACCAAAAUCCUCCAAAGAGAUUGACGGGCCACUUCAGGAGAAACUGGUGGGAAUAACCAAACUACGACUAAUAGAACCAACAGAGACAAACACAUGGAAGGAGGCGGCGCAAGCACCUUAGCUGAAACUCUACACACCUUCCGACAUGGAUUGAUGUUGGAGUGAUCAUUCAAGAAAACCAAAUUUUCAAGGCUCAAAUGUUGGAACUUCAUGUAUAGCGGAAUAUGUCAUCCGAUGCACUAUUCUCUCAAAAACAUUCCUAUAAGGAUCAUCCUCCCGCUUCUUAAUUAAGUAUGCUAAACUGUUUUCAAGGUCGGAUUGUAUCUGCAAGUACAAUUCUUUCGCCUUUUCUUUGUCCUUGAUAAGGAUCUCCUUCUUUCUUUUGGUUUCUAUGGGCAUCCCAAACAAAUAGUAAUACAGUCCCGGUAAAUUUGGCAAAACCACUGGAUUAAAGACUUCUUCUUUCUCAACUCCCCACUCGACUCAUCCCUACAAAACCAGACAACAAUUUAUUCAUGUUUUAUUUUUAUCAAAAGAAGAAAAUUCAGUCUAACAACUAUCGACAAUUAAGAUCAGAUCGAGCGAGGGGAACACAGAAACAAUAACAUGGAGAGUAAUUACCUUAUUCUUACAGUACCGCGACUCGAGUCUUUGAGAUGGUCACUCAGCUUAGGGAUCUUCAUUAGGGCAUUCCUGUCAAGAACCAACUGCUAGAUAUCCAAUUAAGAAAAAAAUCCAAGUAUAUAUCUAAUCACUACAAGAAAUACCUUCACUAGCUUAGCUACUAAGAACAAACUAACGCGAGCUUACUUGUAGUAGAUCAUCUUCUCCCACGGCCGCAAAUGGUACAAUUGUGGCUCCAAAACCUGCAGCCAUUCUCAUGAAUUCCGGUCCGUCAGCCAGAAUAACUUGUAUUCUUCACCCUGCCAAUCGAUACAAACACCAUAUAUGGGAAGCCGAAACUAUAACAGAUAGAUAAAAAUACCAGCCAAAAUGAAGUGUUUUUGUAAAUUCCAUUGCAUACACAUAAAACAUGCAUAAUGCAGGAUCUAAAACUAUGCUUCUUAAGCCAGCUACUGAAAUUAAAUUGGUUUAAGAUGAAAGUGCAAGGAAGGAAGGAACUUGGAACACCUUGUUAUGGACAGCUUCACGUUCGCCGCCAGGAUAGAGCAGAACAUGUGAUUUUGUUGCAAACAAUUUGAACAGAUUUUUUGCCGUGACAGGUACUGCACCCAAUAGUUUGAUCACGUCAAAUAUGGGCGAGCUCGCAUGCUUGCCCCAAAACAGUUCUGGAUGUGCUGCUCCACGACCCAUUGUAUUCUUCUCUCUUUAAAGUUCAAGUGAAGAAAUUGGUUCCAAUCCCAGGGACACUUCUAUGUUGGGUCCAAUUUUAAAUCUCAACAUGUUAACUGUGAAGCAAAUGGGAUUGCACAUAGGCUUGCAAGGUAUGGUCUUUUAGUGGAACAAGAUUUGAUUUGGUUUGAGAAACUUCCAGAUGUAAUUGCUGUCUUGUUACUAAAUGAUAGAAUUUAAUUGUAAUGGAUGCAAGAACACUUUUUUUCUUUCGACCUGCUUGAAAUCUCAAACAAAGUUUAAUCAAGCCCAAAUAUAGGAAAGGAUGAAAUUGAAGGGAAAAAAUAUAUAUAUCUUAUGUAUUUAGUAAGUUUAUUAAUUUCGUUUACUGACCAGAGGUUUUUUUUUUUUUUUUUUUUGAACAAUCGAUACAAUCUAUACUAAUGUGGAAAUGAGUGGACUUAGCCUCACAAUGGGCUAACAAUAAUGUAGUUUAUAUUCGCAUUUGGCAAGAAUAGAACCUAAGAUCUUUUGCUUACAAGUAAAGAAAAAUACCACUAAACCGUAGUACUAAAUGGUUAUACGGACCCGUGUUAAGACUGAAAGAUUUUUUAUGUGGUCAAGCUUAGAGCCAAACCCUAAUGGGACCACUCUUAAGACAAUGCCUGCAAGCAACAAGCACCAUAAGCAAGCACGACCACAAAAUUUGCUUCUGCUUCUGGUCCUGGUCCUGGUACAGCUCACUCAUUCAAAAGUCGAGCAAUCGACACCGGUUCGGAACAUAAAGCGCGUGCCGGGUACACUAUGGGAACUUUUGGUCUCUUGCCGGACGUUUGCAUUGUCUCAUGAACAAAACAGGCAAGUCCUGAACCGGAAAUAGUUACACAGAGAAUGUAAACAUAAAAUUACAGUAGAGUAAUCUAAGAAGCGGGAUGUUCUUACACAAACGACAUCGAAAUCAACCCGGAUGCCAAUGGCAACCAAAACAAAAGUGAAGCAUUACAAUAACGAAAGUACAGCCCCAACUCGUACAAAAUUAUAUAUACAAGGUAAACAAAGUAAACAAGAAAAACUACCAGUCAAUACAACAAUUUCUAACCCGUAGAAUGCAAAAUCGGGAUUUCAUUUAUUGUAAAAUCUUUCAGAAGAUAAAAAACUACACGAAGGAGCAGAACGAGGUUAAUGGAAAAGAAAUCUGGAAAUGAAGCAGAAUGAUACUGUCUUAUUCUGUGAAACAAAUUAUAAAAAUUCCUUUCACAAUAGAAUGUUCUAUGGCUAGGUAUCGUACCCGACAAUAUAAAUCUACAAACCUUCCAUCACCAUGUGCCUAAUCCGGCUCUUCAGAAGUUCGAGGAAACUUCGUGUUGAUUUAUCAUCCAGUCGAAAACUCUAUGUACUGUCACACGCAGACAACCAAUUGACAAAUCUGCAGCGUCCGCAUCAGCAACAAAGAUCAUGAUGCUCCUUUGCCCAACAAGGACUAGGCUAACCAGAGCCUUCUCGGGAAGAUCUGGGGAAUGCCACUGGAUUCAGCAAUCAAUUGGUUUUCAAACUUUACAAGUGCCACGAGCAACCCCAGAAUAAUCAAUGUUUCUCAUUAUCUUAAACACAAUAUCACCUGCAAGUGUUAAUGACAAACCUUUGAGGUACAGCCCCGUCUCGGUAAUUAAGCGGCACAACAUUUUUAGGCCAACAUCAGUUUUUAAGGAAGAGAAAAGGAGCCAUGUUCUAAGACAUGUCAAUAUUGGUUUUUUCAGGAAGAUAGAAAUGUGCAUUAAAUUUUGCAGGCAUAAUAAUAAAUGUCUGUUAGUAGCUACUGUCAUUCUCGCCAUCUAUAGAAACAUAUAUAUAUAUAUAUAUAUAUAUAUAUAUAUAUAUAUAUUUAUACACGUAUCCUAUAUAUAUUUUUUAUCCUUGUAGAUCACUAUAUACUGCUUAAUAACAGUUACCAUAAGUGGAAAAGGCAUUUUUUACUACAAAUUUACAAACGAUCUGAAUGCAUCAAAAACUUGCAUAUUAGCGAAAGCAAAGGCACCUCACCUCUGGAAUCUAGCACAGAAUCACCUGCCCUGAAUCACCCUGUAAUUGAGAAUCAGAUCCUCAGAUUUCUUCCAUAUAUAAGCCCGCACCGUGGCUAAGCUCAUGUCUGAGGACAAGACCUGCGCAUAACAAAAGGAUAGGUAAUAACCAAUAGCAGUCACAGAACUAGUAAAUUGCAUAUAAGUUCAACCAAGAAUACAUUUAGCUGCUAAUCCCAAAAACAGAAAAAAGCAUUUACCACUGUCUUAAACUUUUAGCAGUUAUAGUUUUGUUAAAUUUUUAAUUGCCACAAAAGAAUCCUACUAAACAGUUUAUUUGCUAAUUACUAUGCAAGUGAUUACGUCCAUCCAAGAUGUUUGUCCACUUGCCUGAUUGUUACACAAUAUCUCUAUAGAAGGCUUAAGCUUUUGCCAUUGCUUCAAUCCAGAUCGGAAGGAUCCAUCUCCUACCGAUGAAAGCUGCACUGGCCCUCCAGCAAGACCAGGAGCAAAUGUUGCAUCAGGAUUGGCACUAUCCAAUGGUUUGUCAAGGACCAUCUUCUCAACAACAUAAUUAACUACCUGCAUAAAAUUUCCCGUUAGUAAAGUAUAAUAAAUAGGAUGCGCGCACACAUACAAUAAUGAGUACUUGAAGAACUUCCAUCCAUUCAUGAGCUAACAUGAAAUGCAGAAUUUACUUUAUGGAUUCGUAAAAUACGAGGGGCGCUUAGUUUCCCUUGUGUGAGGAUCUGGACAGUUGAACCUUCACAUGGAUGUAGAUAAAAACUGCACCUGAAAAAAAUUAACAAAAGAAUAUUUCUUUUAUAAGAUAAUACAAAAGGACAAAUAUUUCAAACAUAAUGCCUUCAAUAGCAAAUUUCGGUAAUUGUUUAAAAUUCAACAUGCACAAUUUUAGUUGCAAAUUUCAGGCAAGUAAUUCUUUUUUAACACAAGCACCAUAGUCUACUGAAAACCGAGAAGAGAAUUUAUUAUUCUCGGGCACAAAGUAAAAACUUUCUACUAAAGCAAGGAAGUUACUUGGUAUUUUCUCUAGGGGGUAGGCGAUUAUUCAACACGCAAUCGAGACACCACCAGGGAAAGUCCUUCUCAUCUUCAGUACCAUCUAAGUCAGUGAUUUUCUUCCUCCAUGGUCCCCCCUGAGAGCCCUCAGUAAUAAUAGAAGGAGGGGAAGUUGUAGAAAAUUCGAAGGGAGGAUAGACCAUUGAAUCAUUUUCAUUAUUACUAUCCACCUCAAUUCUUGAAUGGGUAAUACUUCUAGUAGUAAUAUCCUUUCCGGAUGACACAUCCCCAUUAGCUGAUGCUUGUGAUCCAAAUCUUUGCUUUCUUUUCCCCAACCAAUGAGCCAAGAGCCCUUUAAGGGUUUCUCGUGCUAGAUUAACCUGAAGAAUUACAAAAAAUCAUUUCUAACAGAUAUAUUUAUUUUCUCAAACAAUUUUGUCACGGGGGUAAAAAGAGAUAAAUCGGCUGACUUGGCAUAACUAAUAAAUGGUUAAAUGUCACAGUUAAGGAAAAAAAAAAAAAAAAACAGAAACCAUAGAACCCACAAAAAAGGGGGCGAAAAAACAUAGAAUGACAGUCAAGGUUAUAUCUACCUUGUCAUCUUCAGGCUUCCCCACAAUGUUCAGGUCUGCUGAAUACAUCUCUGCCGAAAAGCAUUGUGGGGUAUCUAAAUGUACGGAUAAACUUCCAAGUCUGGUAUCCACAGUGAACCAUGCAGGAAUGCUCACCUGAAGCAAUAAAGAAAACACUAUAAAAAUCCAUCAAUGCUGUCAAGCUGAAAUCAUUGUAGACUAGGAAGCAUACCAUCUCAAAAAGCUCUUCCUUUUUCUCCUCAAAUUUGACCUGUAUGGUACACAAUAUAAGUAUUGUUAUAAUGUUCCUCAUUAUGGCAUUCGCCUCUAACACUAUUAUAUAAAUCUAGUUAGAUAAUAGAGUAUAGGAAAAAAAGACUAUAACCUUUCCAUAAUCCUCAAUGACAACACCCCUCGUAAUCUCCCACAACUUCACUGAAUCAGCAGUGUCCUAUCAAGGUCACAUUGGUUCAAAAUAUUUAAUUAAGCAAUGACAUACAGUUUGACAACAAAACUAGAUAGUCAAAAUAAACUUUAAACAGGAGCAUCAUCAUAAUAACAUAUGAGAAAAUCAACAUGAUUACCCUUGUCAAGACAUGCCUUCUAUUGUUUAAUAUUUCAUGUUGCACUAUUCCAGGAAUUCCAGGAAUCGUAAAAAUAGGUUCUUUAUUAACAGGGACCUGGAAAACAUCCACAAUAACAUUAAUCCCCAAAACUCAAAUGUCUGAUGACGUGACAAAUAUCAAAUAAGACUGCGAAGAAAAAGGUGAAUAGCUACCAUGAUAACUAGAGCAUGGUACAUGCACAUGCAACAAGACAUAAAUUUUGAAUAUAAAGAACAAAGUAAUACUUACUAGGGUUGAUCCUUCUAAUGACACCCUUGCUCUUGAAAAGGACAAAUUUCCAGCCAAGAAUGCACCACCUCUUUGAAUUAUCUUCUGGGGAUUACUCCCUUCAGCAGGCCAUCUAUGAACUGAAGAAUCUGUUGUUGCAACCCAUAUACUAUCAUCUUGUAAAGCUAACUGCAGAAUGGGAUGUUCCCCUGUGGAAAGCAAGAGACUCUCUCUUGUGGCCAAGUCUGUCAAGUAUAACUGAGGGUAUAAACAGAAUUGAGUAUUAAAAAAAUGAGCAGAAAAACUAAACAUCCAAUGAGUUCUGAGAAGAGAAUUUACAAGAGAACUGUACUCACAGAAAGAUCUCUCCCACCACUAUAUACAUGACUAAAUGUUGGGGUACUGGCAAGUGCCCAAACAGAAUCUGUAUGCACAGCAUAAGAAUGCACACAGCGCUGCUGACCAAGAUCCCAUAGCCUGCAAAACAGAAAGAAUUUGGUGAACCAUGUUCUUAAUAAAAUACCAACUUCCUAUCACAAAAACAAUCAUAUCUUUCAACUUGCACCUAAUGCUAAUUGUUUCCAUUGGAAGAGAUGUGGGUACCAACCUGAUCAUUGAAUCAGAAGAUCCUGAUAAGCAAAAUCUGUAAAAAUGAAAUUAAAAGAAAGAACACACUGUUAAUGAUUGUAACCAAAACAAAUUGUAUGAAUAUAGCACAGAGAACUACCCAAUUAGAUGAAUAAAUAAUUCAUUAUCAAAUCAAGGUUGUGACUUGCUUGUUCAAUACAUUUGCUGUAUCAUCUAUAAAACAUAUUACAAACUGAACUAUCAAGACCAAAAAGUUUAACAGAAAUCAUUUUUGAAGUGCUCAACCAAGACAGCGUAUGAAAAACUUAUCCAGCCAACCUUCCAGUAGAAUCAAUCAGCAGAGCCCUGAUAUUAUCUGUAUGCCCUCUUAGUUUCAUUUUCUUUGAACCUGUUCUUGGAUCCCAAACACGAACAACCUAAACGGCAUCAGGAUAUAAUUAAUAGUUAUUAACACUUUCUGGUAAACCUCACACACUAACUAAAAGACAAAAGAAAAAUAUUCAACCAAAAGUUGGUACACUUCUGCAGUUUAUAAGAAAGUUUCAUGUCUUCGAGAUAAAAAUAAUAAAAUUAGGACACAGCCAACCCUAGACAACAAAAUAUACCUUCUCUGUUCCACCAGAGACCAGAAGCGAUCCACUAUCAUUCAUUGCCAAUGCAUAAACUGAUUCCUUAUGACCUUUAGCAGAGAUUGGAACAUAUCCAUGUGGCUGAGUUGUGUGCAUAGAAAUGCAGUUGCUAGAGCUGAUAGUACGUAAACUUGUAAUUGCAUUUCCAGAACCAUUGACAGCAUUUGAACUAUCAUCUUCCAUUGAUUCACCUGACUUUGCAACUGGAGUAAGAGCUGCUUCAAGAUCCCAUACAAAAACCUCCCCUCCAAGUCCACCAGAGGCAACAAUAUUGCUCUAAAAUGCAUGACACUACAAAAGGAUCAGAAACUUUCUUUUUCGAUAUCAUAUUCAAGAUAAAACUAUACAAAUACAUAUGGAAAAGAUGUCCGUCCAUAUUAAGUGCAUAAACUAUUAAAAUACAGCAGAAACAUUACAAUUAGAACAUAAGUCCCAAACAAUCAUGAUUAAUCAAAAGAAAGAGAAUGUCCAUAAAAUGCCUAUGAGAUGCAGCCCACAAAAAUGUCAAGUACUGUUUCCUUCCAAAGACAUCUACCUCACCCCUCUUAUCUUUAGUUUCUUUUCAUCCAAACAAGCCAAAUGAGUGCAAAGACUAAUCACCAAAGGGUGAUCAUCUGUUCAUUAGCAGAAUCCCCAAAAGAGUCCUCCACAGACACAGAAAAUCACUAUCUGGGCAGCAUUACCCACCACUCCAAACACUUGUAGGAACUUAUUCAAGAUUUGAGAAGUUCAAAUGAAUGCAGAAAGAUGCAAUCUAAACUAUCAGCAUAUUCAGGUCUUCCAUAAGAUAUGCAACGAUGCCACCAAGCAGAACUCAAACUAUCAGCAUAUAGAAUGAGUGCAAUGACAAGACCUAUGCAUUCAUAAGGCAGAUGAAAAUUUGAUGAGAAAAUUACAUUUUUCUCUGCGGAAGCAAGGCAUGUGACAUAGUCAGAAUGCUGACGAAGAGUUUUGGUACAAGCUCCGUCUGACAUGCAAUUCCACAUCUGACGUAUCCAUAUGACAGUUGAAAUAUAUAAAAAAAUACAAAUGAAUCAGUUACAGCCAUAAAGAAAACACAAGUUACAAAACCAAAACAAAGCAAAACAAAGAUCUAGGCCAAUGAACCUUAAUGGUGGUAUCUGAAGAACAAGAAACAAGCGUAUUAUAACCUGCAAGAACAGCAUCAUUAACCUGCACAACAGAAGUACUCUCAUUUUAACUUAUGCAUGCAGUACAGGAAAAAAAAAAGUAAAUAUCACUUUUUCUUAAAAGUAAUACAACGACUGUAUUAAAAGGUGCAUGUCUGGAGCUACGAACAAUACAAUGUUGAUUCAAAAAACAGUCUAAUAUUGUGCACAACACAAGAAAGUUUGUGCGCACAACAUUCUUCCAUUUGUUUUCCCUUUUAACAAUUUGUAUGCUGAUUGAUCUAGUUUAAACAUCCUACAUGGAAAAGAUUCCAAUAUAAACCGACUCCCCAACCCUGCCUUAUAUUAAGACAAGAAGAACAAAAUCCACUCAAAAUUGAAGAGUAAGUAAUUCUCAUCAAUUUCCAUGAGAGAAGAACUCUCAAAAUUUAAACAUCUACAGAGCUUAAAUGGCACGUUUUGUUUUAAAUAAACAAAACUAGGUUUAAACAUAGGAAGAAAAUGGUUACCCAAUCCACAUGAGACUCAAAGGUUGCUGAACACGUAGCAGCAUCUUCGGCCAGCGUCCAUCUUUUUAGUGUGCCAUCACGGCUUCCAGUAAACAGGUAAUCACACCCAGACACUGAUCCCUUAAGUACAGACAAAGAAUUUAUGCCGGCACAAUGCUGCAGAGAGAAACAAUCCAAACGUGGUUAAGCAUCUAUAAUUUAACACUAACAAAAUGUUUGAUGCAAAAUGCUUAUGUAGGCAGAUUAAACAAAAGUUACUAUACGUGUUGUGCCUUUUAAGUCUAAAAGUGAGACAUAUACUUUAAAAUAUAAAAGAUUUUGUAACCAAUAAAAACUUAAAUACAGAACUUAAAACAGAAAUCAGGAAAAAAAAUACAGAAUCAAUUCACCUUCGUGUCGUUGGCAUCACUCAACACAUAUGUUAAUCUCUUCUCUUUACGAGGGCGAGUGGAAUUGUUUGUGUUCCCUGAACUACCCACUCGGUGCAUCGCAUAAACAACUACAAAGAGAAGCAUUAAAAUUUAAUAAUCAAAGAUUAACAAAUAAAUGUAAACAAUGAAUUCCUAUUCCUAAAAAGUGACCCUAAUUUUAGAAUAUAUUUGGUCCUAGCAAGUUUGUCGAACAAAAGGCAUUGUUGAAACUCCAAAGGUAAAUAUACCACAACGACGUCUUAGUUAUCCACUUGAGUUUUUCAAUACAACGAAGCAUAACAUAGGUGACAUAUCCAAUACAGAUGAUGUAAUAAAUAUGCUUUCUCGACAUGUUAAGGAAUAUUCUAUCACGUAAUCAGUUCUCAACCUAUGAUGAAUAAUUUGAUGAACUUAUCAAUACCUUAUGCAACUGCAACUGCAAUGAAAAGAAAUGAAUUAGACACUUAAGAGUUAACACGUAUUAAAGUUGCUAAUCUCCCAAAGAAUGUAAUUGGUAUGUAGAUUACGUUUGACAUGUCAAAUGUAAUAAAUUUGACAAUCCAACCUCUUCCCACUUUCUCGUGUGAUAUUGCCGGGAAUCAUUUUACUGUUUAAUGUUUAUUUACCAACAAAAACAUUAGCUCUUAAAAAUAACAGAUGAAAUGGUGAUACUUCUUAGCCCUAUACAACACACAGCACCAAAAAACCGCAGAACCUCAAACUCCCCGACUGCCAAAACCCGCAGUUAUAUAAUCGAUGAAACACACUAUAAAAAAAAAAAAAAAAAAAAAAAAAAAAAAACCCCGAAAAUAAUUGCUGACCAUCCAGAGCAAUUGCAAAAUGUUCUAUUCAAUAGUUUUCAAUACCGCCAUUUCAACUAACCCAAUACAACUUCGAUUAGUCUCAGAAUUUCCAUGGAAUCCGUCAAUUUAUCCAAAAAAUUCCCGACUAUCACUCAAUUUAAGCACCAAUAAUCAACUCAAAAAAUUGACUAAAACAGAUUAACCAGGUCACCAAGUCUACUAUUAACCCGAACCUCCUCCAGAUUAAGACCUCAAAAGCACAACCAGGAUUAAAAAACACAAAAACCCACUAAUCAUAUUCGUAUCUACCAUUCAGAUGAUCAACUAAGUUAAUUACUAUUCAAAAUGCAGAGAAAACUAAAAAUUAAUACAAAAAUUAGUGAAAUUAACAGAGUGGAAAACCCUAACCUUACCAAUCAGUGAAGAAAUUGGAAGCUCCCUUUUUUUUGCUGCUCCUCGUCUUCUUCUUCCUUCUUCUUCUUCUUCUUCCACUGAGUUGCGAUUUCAGAGAGCGGAAAUUUUUGGGUGUGGGUUUCGAUUUUAUUGUGGGCGAGUCCUUUGACUCGGUUUUUUGGGGUUCUGAUCGAGGUUAAUUUCGUCUUUUUGCGUGAGUAUAUGAAUUUAUGAAGGGCGUGGACUUUAUAUACACUCGCGGGUGUGCGGCUGGAUCGACACUCGCUUCGCUGGCAAUUGGUUCGUACUGUGGGGCCAGACUGGGAAGAAUACGGUUGAGUUACGAAACGGCCCCUGGGCCGAUGUGGAAACGGGUUCGGACUCCGGUUAUGGUAAUGGGCUCGGACUCCAUAUAUUUAUGUAAAAUUCCUUUUCUUCUCUUUUGAUGAACAUUUAAAUUUCCUUUUGAAUAACUUUUUUUUAAAUAACUUUUUACUAAUAAAUACAGAAGUUUCUUGACUUUAUUAUGGGCUCGUUCGUUUGGAAGUGUUUUUCAGAUGUUUGAAACGUUUUUGGUGAAAUUGUUUUUAGAACAAAUUCUUAGUAAAAGUGUAAGUAAAUUCUAAAAAACAUUUAAAGUACUUCAUAGGUCAUGCAAUGACUUAGUAUGUCCAUUCGUUUAGGUUUUUCAAUUUUAUUUCCAUAUUUUUGUAAUGAAGUAGCCCAUAAUUUGGCUAUGUUUACUUUCCUUUGGGUGUAAAGAUGAAUUAUUACAGAUAGAGGAGACAGACGACUCUUAAGUUCCAGGAGGCAAAAUGAGAUAAAAAAAUUUAGAGGGCAAAGUAAAUCAAACUAUGAGGUUUAGAGAGUAAAGUGACGACUUUUGAAUUACAAAGAGCAAAGUGAGAUUAAAAUUGAGUUACAGAGACGUAGUUAAAAAUAUGCCACUUAGUAUUGAUGGAUACUUUGCAUUGGCAAUUAUACAAGGAAUUUAGUGAUUUUAUACUGCCUUAGUGUUGUUACUUCAGCUCUUGGUAUUCCUACAUUGUUGCCAUUCUUGAAAGCCGUGUGUCAAAGCAAGAAAUCGUGGCAAGCACGGCACACUGGAAUCAAGAUUGUUCAGCAGAUUGCCAUUUCGAUCGGGUGUGCUGUUCUUCCCCACUUGAGGUCUCUCGUGGAAAUUAUAGGGAAUGGUCUGAGUGAUGAAAAUCAGGUGGUCCGGACAAUUACUGCUCUCUCUCUCUCUCUCUCUCUCUCUCUUGCUGCUCUUGCUGAGGCUGCUGCCCCAUGCGGUAUUGAGAGCUUUGACUCAGUGUUGAAGCCUUUGAUGGAAAGGUAUUAGAUCUCACCGCGGUAAGGUUUUGGCUGCCUUCUUGAAGGCAAUUGGUUUCGUUAUUCCCCUCGUGGAUGCAAUGUAUGCUAGUUAAUAUACAAAAGAAGUGAUGGUUGUUUUGAUUCGAGAGUUCCAGUCUCCCGACGAAGAGAUGAAGAAAAGUGUGCUUAAAGUGGUGAAACAGUGUGUGAGUACAGGAGUAGAGCCCGAGUAUAUAAGAAGUGGUAUUCUGCCUGAGUUCUUCAAAAGCUUCUGGAUUAGAAGGAUGGCUUUGGAAAGGAGAAACUACAGGCAAUUGGUGGGAAACAACUGCGGAGAUAGCAAAGAAAGUGGAUGCUGCUGAUAUAGUGGGGGAGAAUUGUUCAGGAUCUCAAGGACGAGAGCGAACUGUAUAGGAGAAUGGUUAUGGAGACAAUCGAGAAGGUGGUUGUGAACUCUGGUGCAUCUGAUAUUGAUGCUCGGGUGGAUGAGCUUCUCAUUGACGGUAUCCUUUAUGCUUUCCAAGAGCAGACCAGUGACAAUGUUAAAUGCGAUGCUUAAUGGAUUUGGUGCAGUUGUGAAUUCUCUUGGGCACCUUCCUCCGAUUUGUCGUAACACUAAGUGGCGCUUGAAUAACAAGGGUGCAAAGGCACAAGCUACCGAUCUUAUUUCGAGAACCGCUGUUGUCAUGAAGCAGUACCAAGAGGAGCAACUGAUGGGUCAUCUUGGUGUCGUCUUGUAUGAAUAUUCGGGAGAAGAGUACCUAGAAGUUCUUGGAUCAAUUCUGGGAGCGCUGAAGGAAAUUGUGAACGUUCUUGGUAUGACAAGGAUGACACCUACUAUAUGACUCCAAUGUUGAAAUAUAGGCACGAGAAAGUCCAGGAGAACUGUAUUGACCUUGUUGGUCGUGUUGCUGAUCGCGGUGCUGAGUUUGUUCGAGCAAGGGAGCGGAUGAGGAUCUGUUUUGAACUUCUUGAGAUGCUUAAGGCUCAUAAGAAUGGUAUCCAGCGUGCUACUGUCAACACUUUUGGGUACAUUGCUAAAGCCAUUGGCACACAAGAUGUCCUUGCCACUCUACUGAACAAUAUCAAAGUGUAGGAGGGUUAGAACCGUGUUUGCACCACCGUGGCAAUUGCGAUAAUAGCUGAAACCUGUUCUCCUUUUACAGUGCUUCCAGCACUAAUGAACGAGUAUCGUGUUCCAGAGCUUAAUGUGCAGAAUGGUGUUUUGAAAUCCCUCACUUUCUUGUUCGAGUACAUUGGUGAGAUGGGGAAAGACUACAUCUACGCAGUGACCCUGUUGCUGGAGGAUGCCCUCAUGGAUGGAGAUAUCGUUCACGGGCAAACUGCAGCUUCUGCUGGUAAGCACAUGGCUCUAGGUGUAGCAGGAUUGGGAUGCGAGGACGCAUUCGACCACUUGCUGAACUACGUCCGGCCAAACAUAUUCGAGACAUCCCCGCACGUUAUCAAUGCUGUCAUGGAAGCGAUUGAAGGGAUGAGAGUGGCGUUAGGUGCUGCUCUCCGGGGGCUGUUCCAUCCUGCUAGGAAGGUUAGAGAGGUGUACGGGAAGAUUUACAACUAGCUGUAUAUCGGAGCUCAAGAUGCUGUCGCGUCGUACCCUUUGCUCGAGGACGAGGAGCAUAAUGUAUAUACCAGGCCCGAGCUAAUGAUGUUUGUAUGAGCAGCUGCUGCUGUAAGUUGGGACCCUUUUGGUUGCUUUAGUUUUUCCAAACCAGUAUACGUUACUAUGCUUAUGUUCAAUAUUUCGUUUAUGCUACAAUGGGUUGAAGUUAUGAAUUACAACCCGAAAGUGCCAGUAACCAAUUGGUUUUACAGUGGAACCUCAUUUUUUGUCGUGGUAUCAAAGUAUGUUUACCUUUAUGUUGGGCUUAACAACUCACGUGCUCUUAUAUCACUCAAUAUGCAAUAUAUAAGGUUUGAAUGACGUCAUAAGUGAGGCGUUUUGUAGAAAGUUUGAUACAUCGAAAAAUUAUUAAACCUUGCAUGGAUUUACCUCUUAUUGGUAAUUUGUUGUAGGGUGAAUACUCAGCUUCACCUUCUAAGUCACGGUUAAUUAAGAAGCAACUCGUGAACUCACCAUUCUUUCAUUCGAUCUCAUGCACUAAAAAUAUGUCAUAGGAUGUGAUAUCCACUGUUAUUUGAAAGCUCGUAAUUUCACUAUUUUGGUUUGUCAUAUAAACUUUCAAAUUAAACCGGUUAAGUUGGUUGGUUUGAUGUCAGAUUGACGGUUGUUUUGACCCAUUUAAUUAAUAGAAGUAAAUUGACACAUCUUAAAAUAUUAGCAUGACUAAUAACCAAAUUAAAAGUCGAGAAGCCGCAUCAAAACAAUGUUGUAACAUCAGAACAAGCGUCAAGAGAGAAAAGUUGUGAAAUUUAGUAGGAUGAUGGAAGGAGGAUAGUGGUGGAGGGAAUGAGAUCCAUUUCAGAUCUAUGUUUUCAGAGUCAUCGGACUAAGAGAUCUAGACCGUUUAAGAGAAGGAAAAAAAGAUCUGGACCGUUAAAGUUUGGAUUUUUGUUAUAUGGGCAAGUAAGAUGAGAGUAAUGAGAGAUCAUAGGAUUGAAAUUCAGUGGUGCGGAUCUCCAAGUCUGCAGUCUUUAAACACAGAAACACAGAGUGCAUCCCAACCCGUUGUGGAGUGGUUAAGGUUUGGUGGGGUAUGUGUGUAAACAACCACUAAAAAAUAAAAUUGGUGGGAAGUGAAUAUAGUAGAAGCAAAGCAUUUAACUUUUCCCUCCUCCGCUCCACACGCUCCUCUGUCCUGUCCCCUGCCCCCAUCUCUGAAAAAAAACAGAAGGAAAUAAAACUGCUUUUACAAUACAGUUUUAGAUCUUGACCACCCAAACAGAAUCUUAAAAACACAUGUUUUCUUUCAUGUUUUUUAUUUUAUUUUAUAUUUUACUGUAACAAAAAACCCUCACCUGCUAACCAGGGUCGUUAGAUUGUUUAAUCAUUGAGGUAACUUUCCUGGGUUCACGAAAUCUGAAUUUUUACUAUUUUCUUCCCUUUUUUUAAUUAAGGUUAUCGAAUUACUGCUUCUUUUUCUGUUUAAAUACCUUUUUUCUUGUACUUGUACUUGAGAAGAAGUUGGAGGAAGGAAGUGCUUUUAAUUUUUUAAAGUUCUUUAAUUUACAUCAACUUUCAGUUGUUUCUUCGUUCUUUAUUGGUAAGAUUGGUCCUACAAAUUCUUGUACUUGACUUAAGUUAAGUGCUUUCUCAGAACUCAGAAGUGCUUUUUCUCUCUCUUCAAAGGGUCAGCUGUUGUUGUUGUUCUGUUAGUGGGAAAAAUGUUGAUUUCAGCUGAAAAAAAAAGGGCAGAUCUCGUUGCUUUCAGUUAAUGUGAACGAGUCCUUCCAAUCACGUCGUCUCCGAUGGAAUCAUCUAACGGUCCAGAUUCCACCGAUGGGUUGCCAUCCAUUGACUUUUCGGAUUCUCCUCCUCCUCUUCCCACCAUCUGUACGGACGUCAAUGUCGUCCCUGAGCACGAAAAGAAUGAGCUCCAGCAGUCCAUAUCAAAUCUUGAAGGUAAAGUUUUUGAAAAUUUUCAGUUUCUAGUAAGCUCGUUUAGGACGUAUUGCUUAUGGAAGGGCUAAAAGCAAAAGCGCUACGAGCAGAAGCGCUUACUUGAUCUAGCAAAAGCUGUAAUUUUUUUCAAUUGGGUUUUGUAGGAGAAAUUGCACAGUUGAAGCAGAAGCAGAAGUUCUUGGAUGAGAAGAGGAGAGAAUCUUUGAACAAGAUUAUAGACAUCAAAGGUAAUGUUGGGUCACAAUCAGAUCAAUCAUAAAUUUCUCCGAAAUGUUUUUUUUUUAUUUUUGGUUUCUUUGUUUUUUUUGUUUUGUUGUAUCAAGUGAAGUGAGUGUUCAGGUAGUAUUCGAGUGUUCUGUCGGGUCCGACCGUUCCUAGUGAUCGACAGGAGAAGAAUCCGGGAACCCAUUUCGGCCGGAUCGGAGAAGAUUGCGGUUAAGACAGCCGGAACAAGAAAAGAAUUUGAUUUUGAUAAGGUUUUUCCACAAGAAACCAGUCAAGGUUAGUGUUGGAAUUAAAGGAAUGCGUGUUUUACAAGUUUGAUUAUUUUGUUAAUUGUUUCGAUUCGUAGUGUUGAGAGUGUGAAUCGCACAUCGGGAAAUUAAAGUCUUGUAUGAUAGUUUAAAUGAUGUUCGGAUUUCCGAAUUCUGUAGAAAAUGUGUUUGCUGAGGUGGAACCAAUUCUCAGAUCUGCACUUGAUGGCCACAAUGUGUGUAUUUUUGCUCACGGCCAAACCGGCACGGGCAAGACAUUUACCAUGGUUAGUGAUCGAAACUUCGAUCAAGCUUUUGUUGUUGCAUUUGUGUUCGGUUGUUAGGUGGAUUUUCGUUCCAAAUGUGCGUAAAAUGAUGAAGUUAAAUGGAUAUGCAGGAUGGAACUAGUGAGGAGCCGGGGAUAAUUCCUCGAGCUCUCAAGGAGCUUUUCUGUCAAGCCUCCUUGGACAGCUCGUCCUCUAUUUCCUUUUCGAUGAGCAUGUUGGAAGUUUACAUGGGCAGUCUCAGAGAUCUGCUGUCCCCAAAACCCACCAACAGAACAUACGAAACUGUAACAAGAUGGUAAGCAUCGGUUUGUUUAGUGCCCUGGUGCGACAAUUUCAGGCCAUUUGUUAGAUUGCUUACCUCAGUUUGGCUAACACUACUACAGCAAUCUCAACAUUCAAACAGAUCCGAAGGGGACGGUGGAAAUUGAGGGCCUUACAGAAGUCCAAAUUGUCGAUUUUGCUAAAGCUAGGUGGUGGUAUAAUCGGGGGAGACGAGUUAGAUCAACUUCUUGGACGAAUGUCAAUGAGGCGUCUAGCAGGUCUCACUGGUGGGUUCCAGGUCUACUUACAUUUUUUCAAAUUUUUCGUUGGAUUAUUUUGGUCGAUAAUUACGUUAUGUUUUUAGCUUCAUAUAUCUAGCUUAACAAGGAUAACCAUAUUUCGGAAUGGGGAUGCUCUGGAAGCUAAAAGGGAAGUGGGUAAACUGUGGAUGGUUGAUCUUGGAGGAAGCGAACGGUUGCUUAAAACGCGGGCAACUGGACUUACACUUGAUGAGGGAAGGGCCAUAAACCUUUCACUUUCCGCCUUGGGUGAUGUCAUUGCUGCUCUACGAAGGAAGCGAGGCCAUGUGCCUUACAGGUAAGUUAGUUGGCAUAAACUGUCAGCUUUAGUUGCCUUAUUCCCUUUUCCCUUUUCUUUUUCCCUUGGGCCUUCUGAGCUUUUCUCUUUGCUUACUGAUUGAGCAAGAAUCUGAUGCACUUCAACUUUUCGGUUGCAGGAACAGCAAGCUGACACAAAUCCUGAAAGACUCCUUAGGUAGAUCCACAUUCUUCAAAUUUUGUUAUGGAACUGAAGUUCUUUACACAUCAAAGGCUAUUCGAAGUUAUUUAAUUUGACAGUACAUAAACUUCUCACGUAAUACUAAUCGAGUUCUCAACAAUGGUAAUGACCCCAUGACAAAUCAUUACGUUUGUGCACUCAAUUGCCAUCGUGAGCUGGGUUCCAUGAUUUACGCACCCCCUUCAUCAUCUGGACUUGAAAGUGCUUAACAUUUGUUUUGUAAUCCGAUAUGCUUUAGGUCACGGUUCAAAGGUUUUGAUGCUUGUGCAUGUCAGCCCCUGUGAAGAAGAUGUUGGGGAGACGAUAUGCUCUUUGAGUUUCGCCAAGAGAGCUAGAGCUAUAGAGUGUAACAGGGAAUUAGCAGAGGUACCUCUCUCUAGUUUCUUUGUAAUUUUCGGGUUUCUCAGCUGUAUAUUUUCUGAACAUACUAUUUUUUCAGGACUUGAAGAGGCACAGGGAAAAAAGGGUGAAGGAACUCGAAGAAGACAUGAGAGAAGCUGAAGAAGAGUGCCGUAAAGUUAAAAAUCAGAUACAAAAGGUCGAUUUGCUGCUACGCGAAAAUAUAAACCUCUUUGCAGCCACGUAUGGACAUUUGAAAGAUGAGAAGGCCCCCAUUAGUCCCAAAGAAGUUUCGAGGGAAGUUAUAGAAACGCCUCGAAAGCUAGAGAAAGGAAGCAGAGGAAACAACAUUUCAAAUUCUUUGCCUCGGUUCAUGACUUCCACUGCAGCCAGUCGACAAAGGCAAAGCUCUGCAGAAAGAGAAACUGCCGCUAAAGCAAGAAGUUUGAGAUCCGUGGCCAGAAGUUCAAUCCAAUUUACAGCUUCACAGUCAAUGAGUUACUCAGACCCUCAAAUCAAAGCAAUUUUACAAAACUCGAGUAGGAAAUCGCGAUAUGCGCAGGAAGCAGCAGAUACUUUACCGGCAGAGAGCCCGAAGUGCAAUGGCUCGGAAUCAUCCAAGACACGAAGCAAGUUGGUCACUUCGUCCGAUCCAAACUUGAGACCUAUGCUUAGUCGUCAUAGAAGAAGGAUGUCUGAUCUAAUCUAACGGUCUGAGUGUGAAUAAGAUUAAGAUAAUGUGUUAUAUGUUAUAGCAGGAAUAAGAUGAGUGUUCGUGUUUUCGGGUUGUUUUCGGAUUGUUUUCAAGGUUCAUGUACUUGAUAGUUUGAGUUUGUUCCUGCAAGAGUUUUGCAGCUGAGUGUCGUGUGGGGUGGUUCAAAGUUUGAACUUCAAACUUCAACUGGGAUCUGUUAAUUAUUUGUUUACACGAUCCCUAGGUAGUAAAAUGAUCUGAUUAAGGUUGAUGAUUUAUGUUAAGUUAAAUUGUUAACAGAAUUUCGUAGCUUCUUUUGACAGAAAAAACGGUCAUUUAGUUAAAUCUCAAUCGUUCACCUGUGGAACAAAAAUGUGCAGAUGUCAAUUUUCGACCGGCUCGAUUUAUAGUGCUAGUAAGAACAUUGUUUCACUAAUGAAAGAGCGGUACAAAAUUGAGGCAAAAUUUGAAAAUCUCGUUGAUCUCAAAAUAGUAGGGUCAAGGUCGCUCAAUGAGACAAAUAAACUUUAUGCUUGAGAAAAAAAAACCCCAAAUCACUGGUUAAGGCCCUUUUAGAGUGAUAAAAAUGUAAGAAAAAUGACAUUAAAUCGUGAUUUGAACACAGUUUAUUACCUAUUUAAAAAGUCUCCUUAACCCUGUUUUAUUAAAAUUAUAAUUUGUGAAUUUUUGUAUCCACCGUUUAGGCUUGACAAACCAGUUGUGUUUGUUGUGUUUAUAUCAUUUUCACGAUAUACAUUUUAUUUUAACCGGUCGUGUUUCAGAUGAUUAACUUAUAACUCAAUAACAAUCCGAUUCUUUAAUAAAUUGACUCAAAACCUAUUAUUUUUGUUUCAUUUCCUGUCGAAUUAACGGCUCGUGUUACCUCUAUGUAACCACGCUCCAUGCGACACCGCAGGCAAUGACAUGUUCCUCCCAAAACGACAUCCUCCCUAACGACACAGGGCUCCUCUCUUGCGCUUCGUGAAACGGCGUCGCUUAAGGCCCGUUCCCAAAUCAAUUUUCCGCGAUCCCAAUCGUUCUGCCGACCUAAAAUUCAGAGUCUUGAAUGUAUGAAGACUUCAGCGUAAAAUCGAAUACACGCAUCCACACCACAUGGCUCUGUGGUCGUCACCGUCAAAUUCGUCGGCUAAGGGGAUAGUGAUAACGGUGCCGGCGCUGGUUCUGACGGCGUCAGUGGCCGCGGUUUUCUUCUUCUUUCUCUUGUACUCUCUCUCGUCGCCGUGCACUUGCGGCGGCCGCGACGCCGGUGGGGCUGCUAGUGCUAGUUUUGCGAGAGUCGGCGAUGUCGAUGGACCGAGUGUCGGCGUGGCGGAGGGCGGAGGAGGAGGAGGAGAGACGAUAUGGUCGUCGAAGGAGGAUGUGGAGUGGGUGAAGGAUCAGAUCCGAGUGAAUGGGUUGCAUAUGCAGGAUAACGUGUUGAGGAAGGGAAUUAACCCUCGCACCAGAGCUCAGCAGCUUCAAGAUCUCUUGGAGUCAGUAUUCUCUCUCUCUCUCUCUCUCUCUCUCUCUCUCUCUCUCUCUCUCUAGAAGUACCUCUUUAAUAUUAUGUGCACAUUUGUAUGAUUAGAAAUGGGGACUUGGAUUUGCACAGUGGGAUUGGGAAUUGGGAUUUCAAUUGAUUGUGAAUUAGUAAACUCUAUAAUCUUGGAUUCAAAGAUGUCAACUUUAAUUUUGAGUACCAGUUCAUGUGAUUUUUGUGCCGAGUGAGGAUGUGGGGGAGAUGAGAUUACAUCAGUAAACUUCGAUUUUCAUGAGAUCGCAGCAAUCGACUUUGAUUUGUUUUAGUUAUGUGGACGUGAACUCGAAUUUGUUGCUUAAGUUUCUGCAUUUUCUUUACAAUAUAUCUUUUCGAUGCUGAGUUUGGCAAGUACCUGUUGUGGCUCUGUUUGGUUUAUGUAAAGCACUGGGUUAGGUUGGAGAGAAACGAAAAGGUUAAGCUUGAUGAUCGGCUAGAUUUAUAGAACAUGGAUUUAGACUAGAUCAUAUACUUUGAAGUGAUUUGUUCUAUUCCUUUUGUUCCGGUAGAUGCUUCUUUGUAUUAUAUUUGUUGCUCGAUGAUUCUUUAACUGGAGUAUUCUCUUACUUGGUUGGUUGGUUAGAUGAUUUCUCUUUCUCUCCGCGUGCUUUUCUCUGCCUGCAGUUUUCAUAUAUUCAAAUGUUUGCGGGUCAAUUGAAUCGCUGGCAAGUUAUUCAUUUCAUGUUCUGUGAAUAUAGGGAUGAUUUUGUACAAAUAGUUGACCAAUAGUUUCUGAAUUUUCAGGUUCAAGGGUAUAUCUCAUUAUGAAGGACCUGAUUCAGAAAAGCAUACUGCUCUCCCAUGCCCUGGUGAGCUCCUAACUGAGGAGCACCACAGUAACUACGGUGAGCCUUGGGCAGGCGGGCGAGAUGUUUUUGAGUUCCUCGCUCAGUCCUCUCAUCUGAAGCCCGACUCAAUUGUCCUUGAGAUUGGCUGUGGUACCCUCCGAGUCGGUUUGCAUUUCAUUCGCUAUCUUAAUCCUGGACACUUCCACUGUCUUGAAAGAGAUGAGCUCUCACUAAUGGCUGCCUUUAGAUACGAGCUUCCUUCCCAAGGUCUUCUGCACAAGCGCCCUUUGAUUGUGAAAGGCGACAACAUGGACUUCGGCGGAUUUGGUUCAGAUGUUGUUUAUGACUUGAUCUAUGCUAGUGCUGUGUUUCUUCAUAUGCCUGAUAAGCUUGUGUGGGUUGGAUUGGAGAGAUUGACAAAUAAACUGAAACCCUAUGACGGGCGAAUCUUCGUGUCCCAUAAUAUCAAAUUCUGUUCGCGGUUGGGAGGAGACGAAUGUACAAAGCGGCUUACAAAUUUAGGCCUGGAGUAUGUCGGAAAGCAUACACACGACAGCUUGCUAUUCAACCACUACGAAAUCUGGUUCGAGUUUAGGAGGACGAAGGCUUAAAGUUGCAGAAUUUAUUCUUUUUUUCCCUGCCUUUCGUCCUAAUUUAGAUACGGGAUGUGAGCGGCUGAUCGAUUGUGCAGCAGGCUGCUUUGUAUUUUUGCAUAGGAAAUGUGUAACUUGUAAGAUUUUGAUAACACUUCUUUGAAUUCAUAUAAGCCAUUCAUUCUUUCUGCAGCAGUUGCUUAAUAAGUUGCAUCAUUCCAGCGCAACUUAAAUUUUCUCUUGCAAUUUCGUAGUCACGAUAAUGACUUACCUACGCCCAUAGAAGAAAAUAUCGAUAAUCGUUUUUUUCAUAUAACGAUAUUUCGUGGGUAUUCAUUUAAUUAUCGCUAUAAUAUCGAUAAUAUCGCGAGAUGAACCUAAAAAUAUUUGAAAAUUUCUGAAAAGUCUCAAACAUGCACAUAAAGGGAUUCGAACCCCUCCCAUCUAACUCCUUCAGCGCCUUGACCACUAUACCACUUAUGUUUUUGUGAAAACAUGCUAAAAUAUUUAUAUAUAUGGUUUUGUUUUGAAUUCUUUUUGCAAGAAACAAAUUUGCACAUAUUCCAAAUUUUUUGUGGUAUUAUAUUUUAAAUUGUGUCAAUUAAUUACUUAGUCAAUGGCAUGUGGUUUUUAAUUUUUCUAUUUUUUAUUUGGUCACUUACAUGUAUGGUUGGAAAAAAUUCCCGAAAAUCCCAAACCAAACUGAAAAAGUCCCAAACCAAAACCAUCCCGAAGUUUGGGAAUCCCAUCCCGAAAAAUACCGAAAUUUUCGAUAUGGGAUUGGUUUCCAAAUCCCAUUUGUUUGGUAAUCCCGAAAUCCCGAAAAAUACCGAAGUAUUCGGUUUCCUAUUGACUUUUGGGUUUUGGUUCUUGAAAGCCAUUGCCAUGGUUGCUGACUACUCUUCACAAUACACUUACUCUACACAUAGAGAUGAUGAAGAUAGUGAAAAUUUUGAACCUCAUAGGAACUCUAUGUGGUACUUAGUCACUCAUGUAUCUUACCAUGCAAUGUAUAAAGUGUAAAAUAUUGUACUAAUUCAUUAUAUAUAAAUGAUUAUGGUGUGUUUAAACUUCUUUCAUUAAUUACUACAUAUUUUCUACACUCACAAUGUUUGCUAGCUCGCUAUAUAAUCAACUUAAAUCAGUUAAAUCCAUCAUGCAAUGCAUUUUCUUCCAAUUUUUUGUGAUAAACUAAUAGAUAAUUGACUAAAUAAACAUCCUACAAAGUUUCAAUAAAAAUUUCCAAGUUUCUUACAAUUUCCGUGGUUUCCAUGUAAUUUUUAUCGAUAUCGAUAUUAUCUCGAUAUUUCCAUCGAUAUUUCCGUGUUUUCAAACUACCGAUAUUUCCGAUAUUACCGAUAUUUUCUUUCUUACCUACGCCCACUAUGCCAUUGUAUCCACGAUAUUUCAACCUAAUAGGUACUUUUCGUCUAAUAAGUUGCAAAUUGCAAAUAACUUACCUACACCCGCUGUAUGCCGCCUAAUAGGUACGUUUCUUCUAAUGAGUUGCAAAUUGCAAAUAACUACCGAUAUCCACCAUGCCAUUGUAGCGAUUCUUAGGCCUGGUUUGGUAAUGUGAUGAUUCUGAAAAAAAAUGGGUAUAAAAAAAAGCUGGGAGUUUUUUUGUGUUUGGUAAACAUUCAGCUUCAGCUUUUUUUCACAGUUUUGGGUGAAAAAAAAGUCAAAAACACAAAGCUGCAAAACCAAGCUUUGAAAAACCGAUUUUUUUUCACAUCUGUUUUACAUAAAAGUUUACCAAAUAAUAUAAUAUUGUUUUUUUUUUCAAAAUCACUUUUACAAAAAAGUUUACCAAACACUCUGCUGCUUUAUUUCACAGCUACUUAUUCUCACAGUACAACAAAAAUAGUUUUUUUUCAAAACAUAACAAUACCAAACCAGCCAUUAACCUAGUCAUGCUCGGUUGUCACGAAACUUAAACCAGGUAGGUACGUUUCUUCUAAUAAGUUGCAAAUUGCAAAUAUUUACUUUUUCGGAGGCUAACUAGAACAUAGAAAGUAUUAACGACGUCGUUCAAGGAAGAGGGUUUUGCAUUUCCUUCAACCCGUCUCUCUGUUCCCAAAACCCCGAAUCUGCAGACUAAAACCCUAAAUCGUCAUCAAAGAGAAAUAGAGACCAAAAAGAGCCAACAUUUUCGAGAAUGCAUCGCUCUUCGCGAAUCAUAAGCACCACAUUCUGCAACAAAAACUCGAAGUUCCCGUCAUCUUUCUUCGGCUACCGUUACGGUGACCGCAACCUCGCUCCGUCGUUUCACCGCCCGAUCUCCUCCACGACGCACCUGGAUAACUCAUGGAUGAACAAGAUCAAAGGGGUCUUCACCGGCAACAAGGCCUCUCCGGAGGAUGCAAAGUCCAGCUCCGAUUCGUUCACGCUGCUUCGUACGUCCCUUAAUUUCAACUUUGUUUUUCACAUUUUCUAUUUUUUGUUUCCUGAUUAGGUAUCUCUGAGAUUUGAAUAUUUUGUUUUCGAGUUUUUGUGCUUGAAGUUUCGAGCUUUUUGUAAAACCUAUAUGAUAUUUUGAAGAAAAAUGUAGAAUUUUCGAGCUUUUUGGAAACCCAUUUGAUAUUUUGAAAAAAUGUAAAUUUUUCGUGCUUUUGGUUCCAGGGGUUUGUUUAACUCAGUUAAAUUUUGUUUAAAUUUGAGAGAUUGGUUGGAAAUUCAUGGUUACGUUAACGAUAAUUAUUUGUUUGUUUCUUGGGUUGAUUAUAGGAUUUGCGGAUGAGAUGAAGAAUGCUAGAAGAAUUGGGGCGUUCAAGCAAUACAUUGUGGGGAGAAGCAGUGAAGCUACUUUUGCCGAUGCUUUCGAGAAGCAGGAAGCGAUUAUUCGCUAUCUCGGAGGAUUUGAUUCCACUGGAGAGGUUGGUUUUACCCUUUUAAAUUGAUGUUUUACUUGUUAUUUUUUUGCCAGAUGAAAUCUCUGUUUGGUCCAUUUGGCAAUGUGUAUACUUGUGUGCUUAUGCUUGUAAAGUUCAAGUCUCGUAAAAUAAGUCUUGUAAUAGUCCAAUUAGCUACAACACUAUUUCCUAUGUUCUUAAGAAAAAGUGCCAUUUCACACAAAAUCUAGGUUUGCCUCUGGUUUUUGUGAGAAUCUGGAUAUCUCUCAGAUAAACUAUUCCAUCCUACAUAGUUUUAAUGCCAAUAUUUGUGACUUGAAUACGAGAUUGUUUGCCUAUCUUUUUAAUUCCGCUUUCCUUUUCCAUAUUCUUUGCCAAUUUCUCUCGCUCUUUCUUUUAUGGAAUUGCUUUAAACUCGAGUUCUUUUUCCUCCUUAAACUGCCAAUAUAAUCACUACAGAGAAAUGAGCUAUUAAGCUGAAGGAAACUUCAUUAUUCACAGGAUGCAGUCCAAAGUAUUUAUUUAUUGGAAUUUCAAAAUGAUUCAUACUAGGUUUAUGUGCGUAGAUUGUGUCUGGUUAAGUCUCUUGAUUAUAGUUUUAGGUCUUUUGUUUUGUAGAAUCUCCAAGUUGCUCAAAAACAAGAAGCAGCGAAGCAUUGUAAAUGCACGAUUGCUGAUGUUGAGAAUGCUCUUGCAAAAUUCACGUGGGCUAGAGAAGCACAAAAGAAGAUGGAGAAUUUAAAGAAAGAAGGGAAACCAAUGCCAAGGAACAUUAACGAGGUAUUAUUUCUCAUUUUUCAACCUUCGUAAAACUGAUUUACCCUGUGCUGAAAUUAGUACUUAACUUCAGAAUGUCUUAUAUAGCUUUUGCUAUCUAUGUCUUUGCUUGUUUUCUUAUCUUUGGGAAGGCUUUAUAGUACAGUGGCAUCCUUUUGGUUGGCUAAGCACCUAAACUUCUUGUUAAGGCCAGAUUUUAUCUGCCCGCUUAUUGGCAUGUUUCAAUAGCCGCGUUGAAUUGUGUGUGAUUGCUUCCUUCAAGAUGAAUUAAUAAGUUAGUGGAGGCAUGCGAGUUGCUUCCAUUGGAUGUACUGAAUUUGUAUUAUUUAUGUGGGUGUGUAUGUGUUGUAGGCACUGAUGAGGAAAAUGAGAGGGGUUUGGUGAUUAAGGGGGAAGUUUAAAUCAUAUUGGUUAUGGAGGCCUUGGUUUGUUUAGCUACACUUUUUUCCUGUAACAUCCACACAACACAAAAUUCUGAUAACGAUUUACGACUGUAGGAAACAUUGCUAACUCUAAAUUUCGGCUCCUCAGGUGCAAAAAUUGAUGGGUUCAACGCCAUUGGACCUUGCCAAGUCUAAUUUGGCUAAGAGUGGGCAAAUCAGUAGGAAUGCGCUCUGUCCAUGUGGCUCCAAGAAGAGAUACAAACGGUAUACUUAUCGCCCUGCAUUCUUUUAUCAAGAUUUGGGCAGUUACUUUUUAUUUCUCAGAAAUGAUAAUCUUACUUGUUUGAUUCAUAUGCAUAGGUUUUAAGAUUGAUAAGUUUAUGCGUCUCUGUAUUAUUUCUUAUGAAGGUGUUGCGGCAAGGAUUGAUACGUUCCAAGGAUAAAAGAGCAAGGAAAGUCUUUGCUUCCGUCAUGAGUAUGGAGAGAUGCCAAGAGCUCGAAGAAUCGAUUUUGCAGUUUUGGAGCCUUUGAUUAAUUUUGGUUAGGGUUUAGCCUUCUUGAUGUUCCUUUUCUGCUUGAUCAGACCAGAUCGUCUCGACAUUUGUUUAUACAAAUAAUAAAUUGUAGUGAAAUAACGGAGGCAGAAGAAAUUUGAUUAGAAAAUGAGUGAAAGUGUAAUUUUUUCAACUCUGGGACACUUGCCAUUGUCAGUAGCUCGACUUUGUUAUAUUAUUCAAGACUUUUCAGUACACUGGUCAUUUUAUUUGGUUUGUUCUUCGAUUCUCCAUGACGUUGAGAGUACAAUUGUGUUUUUCAUUUGACUAGUUGAUAAUGAUAUUCUAAACUAAUCUAAUUUACGAAGAGGAUUUGAACUAGAAUGCAAGUGACCGGAGCACCCACAUUACCACCUCAAUCUCACCGGCAUCAUUGUCGGUGAAGACGUGGUUCAGGGAGUCGAUCCAGAGGUGUUUGAAGAACUCCAGCCGUACUCCUGCAAGCAGGUGGAGGUGGGGGAAGAAGGUGGCGGUCGAACACCAAGCUUUAUGGGCUUGUUGGACCAAUCAGGUUGUAGGUUACCUAUUUCAGGCUAUUUAUAGAGAACUAAGUACUUAACAUUAGCGUUUGGGUUCAUUGAGCUUGUUAGCAGAGUGUUACAUAGUUUGCAGACCGACAGAAGAAUAUUCCUUUAAGAUUCAUGGAUUGUGCUUCGGAGAAUCUUGAUGUGCUAAGAGUUUGAUAGGCAAGCCCAUUACUAUCAAGGUAAUUUGUGCAGAUCGCGUAACUAUUAACUUUGAUCGUUUACUCGUGAAGGUUUGACUAAUGAUUUUGGACUUUUAGGACCUUCUUAGAGAAUGUAGCCCGUUAGCUCGUGAGGGUUUGACUAAUGGUAUACAUAUUUCAUACAGUAUUUUAUGUUUCCACAAUGUUGGAUUUGAGAGGACGCUCAAACCCUAUAAGAUAAUAACGAAGAGAAUAUUGAUGGAAACUACAUACCAAAAAACUGAUAGAAACCAAAGAAAAUAAAUAAUUUCAAAACUGAAUUGAUGAAGGGGCCGCGCGAACGCAGGCCCCCACAGCAACAAAUUAUGACGCUGGCUCUCCUACGUUGAGGAGACCAUAGGCAAGCACCCCUCCUAAGUGCAAUGGAGGUCACCAGCCUAGGACAUGAGCCUUCUUGAUCGCCCAUCGACCCCGUCCAGGUAAGUAUGUUGCCAUGUGCAUCUCGUUCCUCUUUUAUACGUCGGUCUCGUCUCUCCACCGCUGCGUUGCUCGAUGUGGUACUGUUUGAUGUCUCAGACCAAAUACAACGCAUUUUAGCAUUAGAGUUUGUUCUCACUUGAUAAGAACCAAAUAAACUCAAAUUAAUAAAAUAAAAUAAUUUAUUGGAAGAUUUUGCCAAAGCUAUUAUAUUGCCUGGUAGUAAUAAAGUAAAUAAUUCCCAUUCACCAAAAAUCAACUAGUAAUUAAACUAGUGCUGUGUGUCGGAAGCCGGCGGACUAGAGAUCUGGACCACUCACUGUAAAUUCUACAAACAACAUUAACUCAUCUCAUUGAUCCACCUGACACAAAUCAAAAGUUUGAAUCUCUUUAUCUCUCUUGAAUGGCCCAAAUCUCUAUCCACUAGCUCAGGACCUCUGAUUCUGAAUUUUGAUUCCCCGUAAAGUUGAAUGUCACGUCAAAGUGCUGUUAAAUUAUGCAUGAUAUUGCUAUCAAUCGUAGUUGGUUUAUUAGGAGAUUAAGACUUUGUAGCAACUUUGGUUAAAAAAAUUGGUAAGGCCACCAUAUUCAAACCCAAUUUCAAAGUCUUUCAUGAUCUUUAAUAAUAUUUGUAAUUUUUGUACGUAUAAAUUCAAUCCAAUACAUCAUCAUUGACAUCAUAGCAUAGUUGUUUGUUAUUUAACUUUAUCAUACAUUUUUAAAUAUUGUUGCUCAUAAUAUCUAGUGUUUAUUAUUCCUAUCACCUCUAUAACUUGUUAUGCAGACCGAUAUGUCCAGAAUCGCUCUCCGUCCGUUCAGGCUAUCUGACGCCGACGAUGUCUUGUCAUCGGAGGUGAUGAUCAGGUGACUCGAGUCCUCCGCGGAUUCAAGACGUUGACAACGAAAGACGAGGCUUUGAAUUUCAUCGAGAACGUUUGCAUUCCCCACCCAUGGCGCCCGUCGAUAUGCAUCGAUGACCGUUCGAUUGGUAUCGUCAGGUGAUGAUCGGCAUAAGGCAGAUAUGGGGUAUGCUUUAGCUGCAAGGUGUUGGGGCCAAGGGAUAACAACAAAGGCAGUUAAGAUUGCACUCUCUCAAGUUUUCAAGGACUACCCUGAUUUGGUUAGGUUGCAGUCUUUUGUAGCUGUAGAGAAUAAGGCCUCUCAGAGAGUUUUGGAGAAAGUAGGGUUUCAGCGGGAGGGUGUGCUGAGAAAGUAUCUCUAUCUUAAGGGAGAUAUAAAGGACAUGGUUGUUUAUAGUUUUUUGUCAAGUGAUUUCACUAAUGAUCUCUCAAGUAAUGAAUUAAGUAGGGACGAAAGCCGGCCUUAGUGAUCCGACGGUGCCGAGUGGAAGGGGCGUUGCUGAACGGAUAAAAGUAUACUAGGGAUAAUUAAGUUGAUCUUCCCCAAGAGGUCCUAGACUUCUUUACUAAUCAAAUAAUUUGCAAUUUUCUUACGUAACAUGAUGUUAUUGGCGUCUUUAAAUUCGUUUUAAACUUGCAGUAUAUUUCUGAAUUUUUCUUAUUUUGUUAUUCUUAUUUGAUCGUCUUAAUGUUUUGUUUAUACAGUAAAUUGUAAUGAAAUUGAGAAGAGGUUGAAGAAGUUUGAUUAGGAAAUGCAUGAAUCUGCAAUUUUACAAUAUUUCUCUUUCGUAUUUGGGUGGCAUGACACUAGUAGCUAGGUUAACUUAAUUCCCAUGACAUAAUGACCAUAAUACUGAUUCUGUAGGAAGCACUUUUGUUAGAAGUACUUCUAUAGAAAAAUAUUAAUUUUUUUAUUAAAACUCUAAUUAAUUUGAUGUUGAGCCACCAACUAUUUUUUGGGCUUGUUAGACCAAUUAGGUUAUAAGUUACCUACGACGGGCUAUUUAUAGAGAACUAAGGAGUUAACAUUAGCAUUCGGGUGCAUUGAACUUGUUAGCAGAGUGUUACCUAGUCUGCAGACCAACGGAGGAAUAUUCCUUUAAGUUUCAUGGAUUGUGCUUCAGAGAAUCUUGCUGAGCUAAAAGUUUGAUAGGCAAGCCCAUUACUAUCCAGGUAAUUUGUGCAGGUCGCAUGACCAUUGACUUGGACCGUUUGCAAUUAAUUGAGCCUGAGGGCCUAUUGAUUCUAGGCUUUUAGGGCCUUCGUAGAGAAUGUGACUUGUUAACUCAUGACAGUUUGCAUAUUUCAUACAGUAGUCAUAUUUAAUAAGUUGUACAUGUGACGUGUUUCUAUUAGUCGAGAUAUUUAAUGUUUCCACACUGAUGACUUUCCAUUGGAUUUGAGAGGACGCUCAAACCCUAUAAGAUGACGAACAGAAUAUUGAUGGAAACCAUAACAUACCGAAACAGUUAGAUACCAAGGCAUAUAGAUAUUUUAAAAACUGAAUUGAUGAAGGAGCCGCGCGAACGCAGGCCCCCACAGCAACAAAUUAUGACGUUGGCUCUCCUACGUUGAGGAGACCAUAAGCAAGCACCCCUCCUAAGUGCAAUGGAGGUCACCAGCCUAGGCCAUGAGCCUUCUUGAUCGCCCAUUGACCCCGUCCAGGUAAGUAUGUUGCCAUAUGCCUCCCAAUCCUAUUUUAUACGCCGGUCUCGUCUCUCCACCUCUGCUUUGCUCGAUGCGGGACUGUUUGAUGUCUCAAACCAAAUGCCAAAACUCUUCCUUGCUUUGAUUUCUCAGACCAAAUACAACGCAUUUUAGCAUUAGAGUUUGUUCUCACUUGAUAAGAACCAAAUAAACUCAAAUUAAUAAAACUGAAUAAUUCAUUGGAAGAUUUAGCCACAAACACCAAAUGAUAAACAACUAGCUAUUAUAUUGCCUGGUAGUAUUAAAGUUAAUAAUUCCCAUUCACCAAAAAUCAACUAGUAAUUAAACUAGUGCUCUGUGUCGGAAGCCAGUGGACUAGAGAUCCGGACCACUCACUCUAAAUUCUACAAACACCAUUAACUCAUCUCAUUGGUCCACCUAACACAAAUCAACAAUUUGAAUCUCUUUAUCUCCUUUGAAUGGCCCGAAUCUCUAUCCACUAGCUCAUGAUCUCUGACUCUGAAUCUCGAUUCUUCAUAAAGUUGAAUGUCACGUCAAAGUGCUGUUAAAUUAUGCCCGAAAUUGCUAUCAAUCGUAGUUGGUUUAUUAGGAGAUUAAGACUUUGUAGCAACUUUGGUUAAAAAAAUUGGUAAGGCCACUAUAUUCUACAAACCCAAUUCAAAGUCUUUCAUGGUCAUUAAUAAUAUUUGUAAUUUUGUACGUAUAACUUCAAUCCAAUACAUCAUCAUUGACAUCAUAGCAUAGUUGUUUGUUAUUUAACUUUAUCAUACAUUUUUAAAUAUUAUUGCUCAUAAUAUCUAGUGUUUUCUCAUUCCUAUCACCUCUAUAACUUGUUAUGCAGACCGAUCUGUCCAGAAUCGCUCUCCGUCCGUUCAGGCUAUCUGACGCCGACGAUGUCUUGUCAUUCGGAGGUGAUGAUCAAGUGACUCGAGUCCUCCGCGGAUUCAAGACGUUGACAACGAAAGACGAGGCUUUGAAUUUCAUCGAGAACGUUUGCUUUCCCCACCCAUGGCGCCGGUCGAUAUUCAUCGAUGACCGUUCGAUUGGUGUCGUCAGGUAAUGAUCGGCAUAAGGCAGAUAUGGGGUAUGCUUUAGCUGCUAGGUGUUGGGGCCAAGGGAUAACAACAAAGGCAGUUAAGAUUGCACUCUCUCAAGUUUUCAAGGACUACCCUGAUUUGGUUAGGUUGCAGUCUUUUGUAGCUGUGGAGAAUAAGGCCUCUCAGAGAAUUUUGGAGAAGGUAGUGUUUCAGCGGGAGGGUGUGCUGAGAAAGUAUCUCUAUCUUAAGGGAGAUAUAAAGGACAUGGUUGUUUAUAGUUUUUUGUCAAGUGAUUUCACUAAUGAUCUCUCAAGUAAUGAAUUAAGUAGGGACGAAAGUCGGCCUUAGUGAUCCGACGGUGCCGAGUGGAAGGGGCGUUGCUGAACGGAUAAAAGUAUAUUAGGGAUAAUUAAGUUGAUCUUCCCCAAGAGGUCCUAGACUUCUUUACUAAUUAAAUAAUUUGCAAUUUUCUUACGUAACAUAGUGUUAUUGGCGUCUUUAAAUUCGUUUUAAACUUGUAGUAUAUUUCUGAAUUUUUCUUAUUUUGUUAUUCUUAUUUGAUCGUCUUAAUGUUUUGUUUAUACAGUAAAUUGUAAUGAAAUUGAGAAGAGGUUGAAGAAGUUUGAUUAGGAAAUGCAUGAAUCUGCAAUUUUACAAUAUUUCUCUUUCGUAUUUGGGUGGCAUGACACUAGUAGCUAGGUUAACUUAAUUCCCAUGACAUAAUGACCAUAAUACUGAUUCUUUAGGAAGCACUUUUGUUAGAAGUACUUCUAUAGAAAAAUAUUAAAUUUUUUAUUAAAACUCUAAUUAAUUUGAUGUUGAGACACCAACUGUUUUUUGGGCUUGUUAGACCAAUCAGGUUAUAGGUUACUUACUACGGGCUAUUCAUAGAACUAAGGAGUUAACAUUAGCAUUCGGGUUCGUUGAACUUGUUAGCAAAGUGUUACCUAGUCUGCAGACCAGCGGAGGAAUAUUCCUUUAAGUUUCAUGGAUUGUGCUUCAGAGAAUCUUGCUAUGCUAAAAGUUUGAUAGGCAAGCCCAUUACUAUCCAGGUAAUUUGUGCAGGUCGCGUGACCAUUGACUUGGACCGUUUGCAAUUAAUUGAGCCUGAGGGCCUAUUGAUUCUAGGCUUUUAGGGCCUUCGUAGAGAAUGUGGCUCGUUAGCUCGUGACAGUUGUCAUAUUUAAUAAGUUGUACACGUGAGACGUGUUUCUAUUAGUCGAAAUAUUUAAUGUUUCCACAAUGAUGAUUUUCCAUUGGAUUUGAGAGGACGCUCAAGCCCUAUAGGAUGACGAACAGAAUAUUGAUGGAAACCAUAACAUACCGAAACAGUUAGAUACCAAGGCAGAUAGAUAUUUUCAGAACUGAAUUGAUGAAGGGGCCGCGCGAACGCAGGCCCCCACGGCAACAAAUUAUGACGUUGGCUCUCCUACGUUGAGGAGACCAUAAGCAGGCACCCCUCCUAAGUGCAAUGGAGGUCACCAGCCUAGGCCAUGAGCCUUCUUGAUCGCCCAUUGACCCCGUCCAGGUAAGUAUGUUGCCAUAUGCCUCCCAAUCCUAUUUUAUACGCCGGUCUCGUCUCUCCACCUCUGCUUUGCUCGAUGCGGGACUGUUUGAUGUCUCAAACCAAAUGCCAAAACUCUUCCUUGCUUUGAUUUCUCAGACCAAAUACAACGCAUUUUAGCAUUAGAGUUUGUUCUCACUUGAUAAGAACCAAAUAAACUCAAAUUAAUAAAACUGAAUAAUUCAUUGGAAGAUUUUGCCACAAACACCAAAUGAUAAACAACUAGCUAUUAUAUUGCCUGGUAGUAAUAAAGUAAAUAAUCCCCAUUCACCAAAAUUCAACUAGUGAUUAAACUAGUGCUCUGUGUCGGGAGUCAACGGACCAGAGAUCCGGACCACUCAUUCUAAAUUUUACGGACACCAUUAACUCAUCUCAAUGGUCCACCUGACACAAACCAACAGUUGGGAUCUCUACAAACCAACAGUUGGGCCUUCGUAAAGUUGAAUGUCACAUCAAAAUGCUGUUAAAUUAUGCCCGAAAUUGCUAUCAAUCCUAGUUGGUUAUCAUCAAACAAGAAUAGCUGAUAAAUUAAUUUAUUAGGAGAUUAAGACUUUGUAGCAACUUUGGUUAAAAAAUUUGGUAAGGCCACUAUAUUCUACAAACCCAAUUUCAAAGUCUUUCAUGAUCUUUAAUAAUAUUUGUAAUUUUUGUACGUAAAAAUUCAAUCCAAUACAUCAUCAUUGACAUCAUAGCAUAGUUGUUUGUUAUUUAACUUUGACAUACAUUAUUGUUGCUCGUAAUAUCUAGUGUUUUCUCAUUUCUAUCACCUCUAUAACUUGUUAUGCAGACCGAUCUCUCCAGAAUCGCUCUCCGUCCGUUCAGGCUAUCUGACGCCGACGAUGUCUUGUCAUUCGGAGGUGAUGAUCAGGUGACUCGAGUCCUCCGCGGAUUCAAGACGUUGACAACCGAAGACGAGGCUUUGAAUUUCAUCAAGAACGUUUGCAUUCCCCAUCCAUGGCGGCGGUCGAUAUGCAUCGAUGACCGUUCGAUUGGUUUCGUGACUAUGUUUCCGGGAUCAGGUGAUGAUCGGCAUAAGGCAGAUAUGGGGUAUGCUUUAGCUGCAAGGUAUUGGGGCCAAGGGAUAACAGCAAAGGCAGUUAGGAUUGCACUCUCUCAAGUUUUCAAGGACUACCCUGAUUUGGUUAGGUUGCAGUCUUUUGUAGCUGUAGAGAAUAAGGUCUCUCAGAGAGUUUUGGAGAAAGUAGGGUUUCAGCGGGAGGGUGUGCUGAGAAAGUAUCUCUAUCUUAAGGGAGAUAUAAAGGACAUGGUUGUUUAUAGUUUUUUGUCAAGUGAUUUGACUAAUGAUCUCUCAAGUAAUGAAUUAAUUACCCACCCAUCGAGUAGGGACGAAAGUCGACCUUAGUGAUCCAACGGUGCCGAGUGGAAGGGGAGUUGCUGAAUGGAUAAAAGUACACUAGGGAUAACAAGUUGAUGUUCCCCAAGAGUUCAUGGACUUCUUUACUAACCAAAUAAUUUGCAAUUUUCUUACGUAACAUGAUGUUAUUGGCGUCUCUAAAUUCGUUUUAAACUUGCAGUAUAUUUCCAAAUUUUUCUUAUUUUGUUAUUCUUAUUUGAUCGUCUUAAUGUUUUGUUUAUACAGUAAAUUGUAAUGAAAUUGAGCGAGGUUGAAGAAGUUUGAUUAGGAAAUGCAUGAAUCUGCAAUUUUACAAUAUUUCUCUUUCGUAUUAGGGUGGCAUGACAGUAGUAGCUAGGUUAACUUAAUUCCCAUGACAUAAUGACCAUAAUACUGAUUCUGUAGGAAGCACCUUUGUUAGAAGUACUUCUAUAGAAAAAUAUUUAAAAAAAAUUUAUAACUCUAAUUAAUUUGAUGUUGAGACACCAACUGCUUCAGUUGCUGGAGUUCUUGAUUCCGCUCUUCAAAUUCUUUCAGACGUCAAUGCUGGAUAGCCACAGCCCAUUUCACGAUGGUAUUCUCCCUUACCAAUCCGUCAGUUUGUUGUUUUAGCACUGUCUUUUGCUUUUAAAAACUAAGGGCUGCAACCUCAGCACCAGCACGAGCUCGUGCACUGAUGGAUUUAUCGAAAUCCUCUAAAUUUUAGCAGCACAGGCCCUAGCAUCAUCCACACUAUUUGCGUUACGCCGGACUCGGAGAUCACAAUAUCAAAGCAUGAAUUUGUUUCCCUAGACCUUGUGAGCAAGCAACUCAAAAAACUGCCUCGGAUUUCUGAAUCACCUGCGUUGAUUCUUAAAAAAGCGAGCCUUUUUUACUGGACAACGCCGUGGCAGGUUCUUAUUAUCCUUGAUAAUAAAAAAAAGACCUCUCACAUGCUCGUGAGCGCGUGCAGAGCGGCUAGUACUAAGAAAAGAACGACUGUACUGCAAUAACAGACUUUGACCGAAAUGUAUCCGGUGCCUAAAGUGCUGGCGUAUUUAAUUCACUUGUUAAUUAGUUAAUUAAGCCUAGUUUGGCUACUCUUUCUUGUAUGUGUUCCUCCUUCGUCCCAGUAAUUUAGAUUAGUUUAACAUAAAACAUCCCUUGUAUCAACAAGAAAAAGAAUUAUCAUCUCAAACGUAAUUUUAAAAUUUAAAUUAAUUCUGUCUUGGUCAAAGUAAUGAAUGGAUGAUUAAUUAUUUUUCAAUGUCCCUUUAUCACAAGAUAUCUUAAUUUUGAUGCAGUCUCUCUUCUCCAAUCAACUUUGGAUCUCACCAGCUAAUGCUGUUUAAUUAAGAUAAGAUAAUAAGUUAUUAAUUUAUUAAGACAGACUUCGUAGCAAAAAUGAUCUUAAACAAGAUUAUCUCCGGCCAUUCAGGCUAUCCGAUGCCGAUGAUCUCAAGUGACGCGAUGCCUCCGAUAGAAGACGUCGACAACCAAAAGACGAAGCCUUGACUUUCAUCAAGGAUGUUUGCAUGUAUGCUUUACAAACCUUGACAAAUAAUUUGUAUGCAUGUUGUGCGAAAUGUAAACUAGCAACUAGUUGUGUCGUAUGUUAAUCACGCACUUUUAUGUAAAAAAAAAAAAUUAAGGGAACUUUAACGAAAAACUUUUGGUACUGUUCAUUUUAACGAAAAAUCACAUUUUUACACUAAAAAGUCAAUUAUGAUACUAUUCACUUUACCCUUUAUUUUGUCUUUAUCGUUAAAACUCAAAACUUUCAAACCCUUUUCAUUAGUUUUCAAAAAAAAUUUAAUUGAUAUGUCAAUAAAGAUAAGUCAUAAGUUACAGCAGUGUUUACUGGCUUGAGAAGAUAACAUCGGUAUGGCAUCCCAACCGCAUGGAAGUGCCUCUCUCCCAAGGGGUUGGGUCAUUGAAGCUAGACCUAGAACAAAAUGAUAAACCCAAUCUAAAUCCGUACUAGGUCUUCCACAAUAGGCCGGGAAAAGUAAGUGUGAUAUCAAUACAUUAAAUUUAUAUAUGAAUCGCCCGUCUACAGUGGGCCGGAAAUUUUUAGUGAGAUACCAAUUUACUGAGCUCAUGAGUUCAAUAUAUCAAACUCAUGAGGGACGGUACCAAUAUAUUGAACUCACAAGUAGCAAUAGUGUUAUAGAAAUCAAACUCAGAAUGCCUGAUUCUAAUAUCUAGAUAUCACAUUUACAUGAACCACCGUGAAAGGCUAAGAUUAAGCAACUUCCAUCGGACAAAUUCUCGAGUGUAACCUGAUCUCUCUUUAUAUGUAUUGUAUGGCAAAUUCUUAGGUAUCCACGUGACGAGCGAGAGAGAGAUAUAUGAGUUAGAUGGAGAUUAAAAAGAGAGAUAUUAUAACACAACUUUCGUUUUAAUUUAAAUUCUUGGCAACCACAAUUUUCUGCCUUUUCUUAGCGGAGCUGCGGAGGUAUGAACACAAACUACGCAGCUCCGCUAUGAACGCACAAACUACACAUCCAGUUUAUCUUUUUCUUUGAGGACUAACUACUAUGAACACUGUACAAAAAGGACCCCCCACUGCAAUGCAAUCAAUACUGUUGUGCAAUUUCUUCUUCCUACAUUCUCACUCUUUUCUUUUCAAUCUAUCGUUUGAGAGUUCGCAACUUGGUAUCCUAAUCUAUCUCGAAAGUAAAGAAGCGAAACGUCUCUGUAUUCACAGUUGAGAGAAUGAGGCGUUUAAGGCGUAGAAUUUACUGAGAUUUCUUGCCGGAGAUGUGAGCUCGGGUCGUCCAGAUUCGACGGAAUGACAAGUCGCUGCAAGGGCUUGAGAGCUACCGUGAGCUGUGAGAACGAGGGGCGCAAGUUCGGAUCGCUAAUCACGCAAAAAGGUACCAUCAAUUAAACCGAAUCCAACAAGUAAAAUAAUGAUAUUCAACGAAAUAUGCAAGGCAUUCAGAAUUUUGUGCAACUUACGUCUGCCAACAUUCCCAAAUUAUCCUUGCAACAAGGGGAUCAAGUUCCUUGGGGAUCUCAAGGCGACGGUUCUGGAAACCCACAGCACCGACAACCUGCAUUGGGUUCAUCCCACUCCACGGCAGUUUUAGAGUUGCAAGCUCCCACAAAAUGACUCCAAAGCUAUAUACGUCACACCUAUAUAUUUAACAAAAGAUGCACAUUAUUUUUUUUUUCGAUAAUCAAGAUAUAUAUAAACCAAAGCUGUAAAAAAAGAACCAGAAAUAUGUUAGCAAGAAUUACUACUCACUUUUCAUUUGAGUUUUCAUUGCGGAGAACUUCAGGUGCCAUCCACUCAGGCUAGCACAUCGAUGAAAUAGGACAAACGAGAAAAAGAGUGUCAAAAUUAGAUUUAAGAAUUGCUGUCAUAUUUUAUCUCAUUGCCUCCAGAAACUAAGUACAAAACAAAAUAUCAACAAUAAUACAAGAUUCUCACCGUUCCAGCAGUUGAUUUGGACGACAAGAAAGUGUUGUGUUUCAAGCGUGACAAACCAAAAUCGCACACCUGCACAAUUGAAGUCUAGUUUAGUAAAAAUUAUACCAUAACUAACUAAUUAACUGGCAAUAGAAUCUCAUUAUCUACAAGAAACGAGAGAACCAACAGUUAAAAGACGUGAUACCUUCACAUUCCAGUUCUUAUCAACCAGCAGAUUCGGAGACUUCAAAUCCCGGUGAACAAUAGUCGGUGUACUGGCAUGCAAGCAAUUCAUACCCCUUGCCUGCAAAAUACACAGCGAUCUGAGAAACUGGAUACGGAUGUAUCAUGUUCAAAAGAAAGACAGGUAAGACUAUAUCAUACGGUAUCAUGUUCGAAAGGAAGUGGAUAUGGAUGUAUCAUGUUCAAAAGAAAGUCAUACCACAUCCAGAGCCAUCUUUAUUCUACGUUUCUCGUCAAUUUGACAAUGAGGACGAUGAAUAAUCCGAUAUAGACUUCCCCUGGGAAAAUAAAGCACAAGUGGACCAGUUACAGCGCAAAGAUGACAAAUAUAAUCAAAUAUCCUUUGAUAUUGACCAAGGUGCAGAAUUAUACCUCGGAAGAAACUCAGAAAUGAUAGAGAGGUUUGGAGGACGUGUAACAGCCCCCAUGAAAAGCACAACGUUUGGAUGACGCAAUCUACGCAUUAUUCGUACCUUACAUUGCAAACAAAUAUCAAAGAAACAGUUCAGUGGUUUUGGAAAUGCGAUUUUAACAGACACACAGCCAGGCAUGUGAAUAGUGAUCCAUCACUAUGUAUAUGUGACUGUCAAACUUGGAGAAGUACAAAGGCUUGGCACAUCAUAUGUCUACCAUUUUAGUAUGGAGUUCAGGUUGAAACGUUCUAUCAUUGUCAACAAUAUCUAUUUAAAAGCAGCAGCUGAGAGGUUAUAAGUCUAUUUUCUUAAAAAAAAAAAAACACACAAUAAUUAUUGAGGUUGUAACUCUAUUUAUUUUUCUUCCAUUCCUCCCAAGUCUUGGAAGCUAAAAAGUACAGCAUUGUAUGCAUAUAAGAGACGAGAAAUUUACUUCUCUUUUGAACUCAGCCAAAGCAGCACCCGAGAAAUCCUGGUCUAAGAACUUCUUCACGGCAACUUCCUGUAACUCAACAACAGUUCACCAGCCAAAAUUUAGGUCACCAGUUGAUUUUAAUUCCCGUUGAAUUAAAUAAAAAACAGUUUGAAGCCUCUGGCAAUGAACUAAGUACAUGCAUGGUCCCAAGCAAUGGUGACAAAAUAAAAAUCCACCAUAAGGUAAUGAAUAAUAGAGAAACAAUUAACAAAAACUACAAAUCUUAGCUAACUUUAAAGAAGACCGAAAAUAAAGACUUGAACAUAUGGAUUUAAUCAUGUACCCCAACCAUACACUUCCUAAACCUGCUUUCCAGUAAACAGAAAAGCAGUUUUGGCUCACACCGAAAAAUCUCUCAUGGUUGUACAUCAUUUGACAAUGAUAAUUGAUAAGCAUAAAAACUAUGUGAUUUCAUCAAUGCUUCAAAGCCAAAAUACAUUUUAUGGUACUAAUUUAUAUAUUUGAUUUUAUCAGUGACUGGGGCAUAAUCACUAUAAACAAUUUAGCAGUGCCAGUCACCGAAGCGAAUCAGAAAAAAAAAGUUAAAGAAAAGAAACUGGAAAAUUGAAAUGCACAAGGAGAAUAAUAUAUGGGAAAAAACAUAUCACUUCAACAUCAACGGGUCUGAGAUAGGAAAGAAUGAGAAUACUUGACAAAGGCAUCCUUGGAAACAGAUAAAUAUAAAAAAUCAAAUAAAAUAUAACAACAGUUGCCAUACAACGUAUGGAAAAGUAUACAGUGUUUAUAAAAACUCACCGUGCCAUGCCAAUCAGCAUGGUAUACCUCACCAUAUGAACCUAAUCAAGAACAAGAAGAAGAAUUAGACAGCUCCCCGAGAAAAAUAAGUUUUUUGCUUCGCAAAGAAUGAACACUGAAAAUUUUCCAGACAAUAUAAGACAACUUUGACCAGGUAUGGAACAUUACCUAGUCCAAUCCUUUCUCCAAUAACCAGGUCUUCCCAUGGAAUUUCACAUUCACCUACGUCAACAUCCUCAAAUGAUGAGCUAGUGCUAGAAUGAUAUUCAACCCUGCUUGUAAUGGAAUCAAAUGAUGAGUUACAACUUUCUGGAUCCUUCAGUUUCAAAUUGGAUUCCAUAAAUCUGUCAUGUGUGAACUUUCUAGGAUCAUUGAAACCAGUUUCAAUGUUCUGAUGUUCUUUAGAAUCUACUGUGUUGUUCUGUAAAUAGUUCGGAGCCCUGGGUUGUUCCCCUUUAAAAAUUUUGGCAUCACCAUCUCUGUCAAACAUAUUUGAAUGAGCGGUUGAUUUGAAACCACCAGGAUUGACCUGUUCAGAUACAGUAGAGCUGGUCGAAGCUGAAGAUGACGGAUUGUAACCAUUAGGCUCACGAUUAAUUUUUGGGAGGAUACCAUCAUACUCCUUUCUUUUAGGGACUUCAUUGAAAGCAUAUUUAUUUUUCCACAUCAAAGAUGCAGGAGGUCGACCAGAAGCAAGAUUAUUAUUUUGUCUCUGAAGCUCUUCAACUUUUUUCUCCGCAGGUUUGUUAUACAUAGAAGCUUUCCCAGGUCCUUUUAUUUGGAAUGGGUUAAGAUCAGCAAAAAGGUUCUUUGGGUCCUCAGAGUUGUUUUGAGUACAUGGAACUAUAUUUACAUUCAUCCUCAUACCACCAUCAAUUGCAUGAGCCCCACGAUUACCUCUGUUGUACUGUGAUUUUUUGGAGGCUGAUGAGGAAAGCUGAUCUAACUGAGUUGCUUUAUUUGGUAUUCCUGAAGAACCAACUCCACUCUCACUACUUGCACCCGAAAAUGUUGGAAAUGAUUCUCCCUUAUCUGAGCUUGGUCUUCUCUCCAGACCUGAACUACUUUCAACUGCUGUGUUUUGGCUGCUUCCCUCUCCAUGUAAUGGUUUUGGUCCUGGGUAAGCGAUAUCUGUGUCGAUAUAAGAAUGGAAAGUAGGAAGUUUGGUCAAGUUUGGAUUGUAUGGCUUAAAGGUAGCGUCCUUUGAAAUUUGGGUGUCAGUUGGUACGAGUGUUCCAGGAUCAGCCAUCAGAUCCACCAAAAACUCCCUGAAGACAAACUAUAAAUUAAAUCUAUGUAAAAAGGUAAACAGAUCAAGUUGGAAGGUAGGAAAAAUUCAAAGAAGCCUGCUGCUCAACUCUAAGGACAAAAGAAAUCUAAUGCUAUACUACACUCUAAAUGCAUAGAAAGAUGACAAAAUCUCCUAUGUUACUGCACAUUAUGAAGCUAUUCUGUGGCUAGAAUUUGUCGUUAAUCAGUCAAAAUUUAUAAGGUUUUAGAGAUCCGGUAAAAAAUUUAGAAUAAAACCGAACUCACAGCAGCUGCUUAAAAUUAUAGAGACCUUGUAAUAAGUUUUUUUAGACUAAAUUUUUGUGCAUGCACAGCCCAGAAUAAUAUAAGUGAAAACCCAACACAUUAUACAAAAGUAUCAACAUUUAACCACAAAAACCUGCAAAAAGCAAACCACUACCUGUCAUCCUCCAACUUUAUUACAUUAACAGCACCAUCCUCAGCACCAGUGUAAUGAACACCCUUAAGCAGUCUGCAGGGCAUCUUGAUAUUGUCAGCUAGUACCUACAUCCGAAGAAACAGAUAAAUAUACAAAAUGUAGCCUCAACUUCUAUUAAAAGAAAUUUGUAAUGGUAAGAUCAUUAAUUAACCCUGAUAAAGUCCCUACUUACAUUUAAAUGCAAAAAAUAAUUGCUUAAUGUCAUAAAGCAGAGAAAUACAAGCAAAAAACUUGUGUUAUGUCAGCAAAACCAAAAAGCUUCCAGUGGUCACUAACAAUUUAAAUUUAGAAGAUCCAUUAAUAGCAUGGCCAAUGUAUUAAAUCCAAAACAUAAAAAGCAGGAGAAGUUGGUUACGUACAUCCGAGGUGAGAUGAAAAAUCGAAAUACAGGACGUAUACUUAUAUAUUUUUUGUAAGGACAAAACAAGCAUCAACAACAACAACAACAAAGCCUUUUCCCACUAAGUGGGGUCGGCUAUAUGAAUCCUAGAACGCCAUUGCGCUCGGUUUUGUGUCAUGUCCUCCGUUAGAUCCAAGUACUCUAAGUCUUUUCUUAGAGUCUCUUCCAAAGUUGUCCUAGGUCUUCCUCUACCCCUUCGGCCCUGAACCUCUGUCCCGUAGUCACAUCUUCGAACCGGAGCGUCAGUCGGCCUUCUUUGCACAUGUUCAAAAUCACCGGAGCCGAUUUUCUCUCAUCUUUCCUACAAUUUCGGCUACUCCUACUUUACCUCGGAUAUCCUCAUUCCCAAUCUUAUCCUUUCUCGUGUGCCCACACAUCCCACGAAGCAUCCUCAUCUCCGCUACACCCAUUUUGUGUACGUGUUGAUGCUUCACCACCCAACAUUCUGUGCCAUACAACAUCGCUAGCCUUAUUGCCGUCCUAUAAAAUUUUCCCUUGAGCUUCAGUGGCCUACGACGGUCACACAACACGCCGGAUGCACUCUUUUCCAUCCAGCUCGUAUUCUAUGGUUGAGAUCUCCAUCUAAUUCUCCGUUCUCUUGCAAGAUAGAUCCUAGGUAGCGAAAACGAUCGCUUUUUGUGAUCUUCGCUAGAUUGCUCCCGGUCAUUAGUGUGGAUAAGUAUAUAAAUGGAUAGAGAUAGGAAAGCAAACACAAGAUGUACGUGGUUCACCCAGAUUGGCUACGUCCACGGAAUAGAAAGAGUUCUCAUUAAUUGUGAAGGGUUUACACAAGUACAUAGGUUCAAGCUCUCAUUUAGUGAGUACAAGUGAAUGAUUUAGUACAAAUGACAUUAGGAAAUAUUGUGGGAGAAUGAUCUCGUAAUCACGAAACUUCUAAGUAUCGGAGUGUGGUGUCGUCUUGACUUGCCUUAUCUGUCUCAUAGGUAGAUGUGGGCAUCUUCUCUGGAAGUACUCUUCCUCCAUCCAGGGGUGGUAUCUUUAACUGGUGGAGAUGCACAAGGUAAUGUAUCAAUUUCACUUGAAGCUUACUUGUAGUUUCAGGCUUGGUCAAGCGCGAUACAAACCAUGUAGUAGGAGUCCCCCAAGUCGCCGAGCUAGGGGGUCUGCUGAAAGAGGUGACAGACAAGGUAAGCAAUCAGAGCUCCGACUGAUUGUUCACCUUCUCCCCAUCUUGCAGCAGCAUGAAGGAUAAAGAGAAGAAAAAUGAGAAGAGAUGAUAUGAGAUACUUUUGCUUUUGAAGAAGUAACUUUCCACAGGCUUAUUCUUGAACUGAGCUGGAGGGUUUUCUGGUUUCCUCCAGAGUAUAAGGCCGACUGAAGAAUUUGAGGGUCAAAAACAAGUCCAUCAAAUCUAGAGUACGUUCCACCCUGCUGAUAUGGGAUACUUUUGCUUUUGACAGAGUAAUGAAUGUAUCGGCACGUGUGCUGUUACGCUUGUCUCCACAUGCUUCCUUGUAUCCUUCGCACUUGCCCUAUCUGUUCCUCAAGCAGAUGCGGAAUCUUCCCUGGAAACAUAAGAUGUUGAAGAUGAGUACUCGAGAGCAAUGCCAGGUAAGUAAUCAGGUAAGGGGUUCCAGGCAGUCAGUUCCUGGCUGGAAGCUUGAUUCCAAGUGCUGACUGAUUGCUCUCUUUCUCCUUGUCUUGCAGGUAAAAACAAGGCCAAAAGAAAAGACAGGAAAAAAGCAUGAUAUGGGAUACUCUUGCUUUUAACCCUGAUGAUAUGAGAUAUUCUUGCUCUAGUAUAGCUUGUUUGCAGAGGUAUUAUCGGGGGGAAAGAAAGCUGAAUAUUUCGAAAGGCUUCGUUGGGAGUGCCCUCUCAGAUAUGAUGAAGGGUUGAGCAUUUUUGCAGGUCUGCCUGUCCGUUGGGGAUGGAGGUCGACAUAUAUAGGAGUCUCCCUAACAACAAGUAGUAAUGCUAUUCCUUUACCCUGCUUGGUCAUAGCACGGUAGUGGGAGCUGCCAGUUUCACAUGUUUUAACUCUGUCAGAGCACUUUGAAAAAGUGGUCUGUGGUAUCUGGCUCUCGAGAUUCGGAGAACGAUGCCUCUUCGAUUUUUGAGAAAGCAAUCAUGCUGGGGGUAUGACUCUCUCGAGAUUCGGAGAGAGCAGUGUCUCUUCGAUUUUUGAGGAAGUAAUCAUGUUGGGAGUCUGGCUCUCGAGAUUCGGAGGGUGGUGCCUCUUCGAUUUUGGAGCAAGCAAUCUUGUUGGGAGUGUUGUCUCGAAUGUGAGUAAAGGUUGGGCAUGUUUGCUAGUCUACCUUGCCACGAAGCACAAAGGUUGACACACAGGGACUUUCCAAUUAUCCAGCAAUGGUACUGUUCCUUUACCCUCUCUUCGAUUUUUGAGAAAGUAGUCAUGUUGGGAGUCUGGCUCUCGAGAUUCGGAGGACGGUGCCUCUUCGAUUUUGGAGCAAGCAAUCUUAUUGGGAGUGUUUUCUCGAAUGUGAGUAAAGGUUGGGCAUGUUUGCUAGUCUACCUUGCCACGAAGCACAGAGGUUGACACACAGGGACUUUCCAAUUAUCCAGCAGUGGUACUGUUCCUUUACAGUUGUGGGUAAUAAUAUGGUAGCUAGACCUUCAAAAUUUAUGUGUCUAAACUUUUGUUAGUGCUGUUUCUUUGCUAUUCUUUUACCUUUCUUGGUCAGAGCGAUGUAGUGGGAGCUGCAAGCUUCACGUGCUCAACUUUGGCAGAGAACUUUGGCAAAGUUAUUUGUGGUACCCAUGAGCUAUUGUUGCGUGUGGGAAGUGGGUGAUUGAACAGUAAGAUUCAUGUGCUUUCUACUUCACCAGAAGUCUUCGACAGAAUGCCCAUAAUUUCUGCAAAGCUGAGUGUGCGUGUGACAGGUGUUGACAAGGCUAGAAAAGUAGGGCCUCUUCGAUUUCUGAGAUCGGCCCUCGUGGUCUCUGAGCAGCCCAGCUUUUGAGAAAGCGAGCGCCUCUUCGAUUGAUUCGGAGAAACGAUGCCUCAUCGAUUUUUGAGAAAGCAAUCAUGCUGGGGGUCUGGCUCUCGAGAUUCGGGGAGCAGUGUCUCUUCGAUUUUUGAGAAAGUAAUCAUGUUAGGAGUCUGGCUCUCGAGAUUCGGAGGGCGGUGCCUCUUCGAUUUUGGAGCAAGCAAUCUUGUUGGGAGUGUUUUCUCGAAUGUGAGUAAAGGUUGGGCAUGUUUGCUAGUCUACCUUGCCACGAAGCACAGAGGUUGACACACAGGAACUUUCCAAUUAUCCAGCAAUGGUACUGUUCCUUUACCCUCUCUUCGAUUUUUAAGAAAGUAGUCAUGUUGGGAGUCUGGCUCUCGAGAUUCGGAGGACGGUGCCUCUUCGAUUUUGGAGCAAGCAAUCUUAUUGGGAGUGUUUUCUCGAAUGUGAGUAAAGGUUGGGCAUGUUUGCUAGUCUACCUUGCCACGAAGCACAGAGGUUGACACACAGGGACUUUCCAAUUAUCCAGCAGUGGUACUGUUCCUUUACCCUUGUGGGUAAUAAUAUGGUAGCUAGACCUUCAAAAUUUAUGGGUCUAAACUUUGUUAGUGCUGUUUCUUUGCUAUUCUUUUACCCUUCUUGGUCAGAGCGAUGUAGUGGGAGCUGCAAGCUUCACGUGCUCAACUUUGGCAGAGAACUUUGGCAAAGUUAUCUGUGGUACCCAUGAGCUAUUGUUGCGUGUGGGAAGUGGGUGAUUGAACAGUAAGAUUCAUGUGUUUUCUACUUCCCCAGAAGUCUUUGACAGAAUGCCCAUAAUUUUUCGCAAAACUGAGUGUGCGUGUGACAGGUGCUGACAAGGCUGGAAAAGGCUGGAAAAGUAGGUGCCUCUUCGAUUUCUGAUAUCGGCCCUCGUGGUCUCUGGGGAGCCCAGCUUUUGAGAAAGCGAGCGCCUCUUCGAUUUUUUGAGAUCGGCCUUCGUGGUCUUUGAGCAGCCCAACUUUUGAGAAAGCAAACGCCUCUUCGAUUUCUGAGAUCAACCCUCGUGAUCUCUAAGCAGCCCAGCUUUUGAGAAAGCAAACGCCUCUUCGAUUUCUGAGCAGGCGCCUCUUCGAUUUCUGAAGCUUCGUCGAGUGCAGAUUUUUAUAGGGGCUGGCAUUAAGUUCCAAAGCACACUUGAAUCUCCACCAGUAGAAGCUUCAUUCUUGCACUUCUAAGAUCUUGAUUUGUCCGACCUCUUCUCUCUUCAACACCUUUGAAAAUGUCUGGCCCCUCCGACCGUCGUUUUGACUUGAACCUUGUUGAAGAGGCAGCCCCGCCUUCUCCAGACAACAUAUGGCGCCCAUCCUUCGUCUCCCCUACUGGUCCUCUUACCGUUGGGGAUUCCGUGAUGAAGAAUGAUAUGACCGCUGCGGUGGUGGCCAGGAACCUUCUCACUCCCAAAGAUAAACAGACUACUUUCCAAACGGUCUGAUGAUGAGUUAGCUGUUAAGGAUUCGCUGGCUCUCAGUGUUCAGUGUGCAGGUUCUGUGUCUAAUAUGGCCCAACGCCUAUUUGCUCGAACCCGCCAAGUUGAAUCAUUGGCGGCUGAAGUGAUGAGUCUCAAACAGGAGAUUAGAGGGCUCAAGCAUGAGAAUAAACAGUUGCACCGGCUCGCACAUGACUAUGCUACAAACAUGAAGAGGAAGCUUGACCAGAUGAAGGAAACUGAUGGUCAGGUUUUACUUGAUCAUCAGAGAUUUGUGGGUUUGUUCCAAAGGCAUUUAUUGCCUUCGUCUUCUGGGGCUGUACGCGUAAUGAAGCUCCAAAUGAUCAACCUCUGAUGCCUCCUCCUUCUAGGGUUCUGUCCAGUACUGAGGCUCCAAAUGAUCCCCCUCCGAUGCCUUCUCUUUCUGGGGCUCUACCGACUGCUGAGACUUCUCCUAAGCAACCUUUGUGAAGGCUCCCUCUUGUGUGCUUAUUUUGACUCAUGUAUAUGUACAUAUUUGUAGCUUAUCGGGGAUAUCAAUAAAUAAGCUUUCCUUCAUUUCAACGUAUUGUGUUAAAUACACCAAAGCCUUCUUCGCUAAGUUCUUUUGAAUUUUCUUUUGUUAAAGCUUGUAUGUUGAAGGUUUCUGAGUGGAGCAUGUAGGUUGGGGUAGUGUUCUCUUAAUUUCCCGAAUGAGGAAAACUUCUCGGUUGGAGACUUGGAAAAUCCAAGUCACUGAGUGGGAUCGGCUAUAUGAAUCUUAGAACGCCAUUGUGCUCGAUCCUGUGUCAUGUCCUUCGUUAGAUCCAAGUACUCUAAGUCUUUUCUUAGAGUCUCUUCCAAAGUUUUCCUAGGUCUUCCUCUACCCCUUCGGCCCUGCACCUCUGUCCCAUAGUCGCAUCUUCUAAUCGGAACGUCAGUAGGCCUUCUUUGCACAUGUCCAAACCACCGUAACCGAUUUUCUCUCAUCUUUCCUUCAAUUUCGGCUACUCCUACUUUACCCCGGAUAUCCUCAUUCCUAAUCUUUUCCUUUCUCGUGUGCCCACACAUCCAACGAAGCAUCCUCAUCUCCGCUACACCCAUUUUGUGUACGUGUUGAUGUUUCACCGCCCAACAUUCUGUGCCAUACAGCAUCGCCGGCCUUAUUGCCGUCCUAUAAAAUUUUCCCUUGAGCUUCAGUGGCAUACGGCGGUCACACAACACGCCGGAUGCACUCUUCCACUUCAUCCAUCCAGCUUGUAUUCUAUGGUUGAGAUCUCCAUCUAAUUCUCCGUUCUUUUGCAAGAUAGAUCCUAGGUAACGAAAACGGUCGCUCUUUGGUAUUUCUUGAUCUCCGAUCCUCACCCCUAACUCGUUUUGGCCUCCAUUUGCACUGAACUUGCACUCCAUAUAUUCUGUCUUUGAUCGGCUUAGGCGAAGACCUUUAGAUUCCAACACUUCUCUCCAAAGGUUAAGCUUUGCAUUUACCCCUUCCUGAGUUUCAUCUAUCAACACUAUAUCGUCUGCGAAAAGCAUACACCAAGGAAUAUCAUCUUGAAUAUGUCGUGUUAACUCAUCCAUUACCAACGCAAAAAAGGUAAGGACUUAAGGAUGAGCCUUGAUGUAAUCCUACAGUUAUGGGAAAGCUUUCGGUUUGUCCUUCAUGAGUUCUUACGGCAGUCUUUGCUCCUUCAUACAUAUCCUUUAUAGCUUGGAUAUAUGCUACUCGUACUCCUUUCUUCUCUAAAAUCCUCCAAAGAAUGUCUCUUGGGACCCUAUCAUACGCUUUUUCCAAAUCUAUAAAGACCAUGUGUAAAUCCUUUUUCCCAUCUCUAUAUCUUUCCAUCAAUCUUCGUAAGAGAUAGAUUGCCUCCAUGGUUGAGCGCCCUGGCAUGAACCCGAAUUGGUUGUCCGAAACCCGUGUCUCUUGCCUUAAUCUAUGCUCAAUGACUCUCUCUCCAGAGCUUCAUUGUAUGACUCAUUAGCUUAAUACCCCUAUAUAGUUCAUGCAAUUUUGUACGUCGCCCUUAUUCUUGUAGAUAGGCACCAAAGUGCUCAUUCGCCACUCUCAUUUGGCAUCUUCUUCGUUUUCAAAAAUCCUAUUGAAAAGGUCAGUGAGCCAUGUUAUACCUGUCUCUCCCAAAAGUUUUCCACACUUCGAUUGGUAUAUCGUCUGGGCCUAUUGCUUUUUUUAUGCUUCAUCUUCUUCUUCAAAGCUACAACCACUUCUUCUUCCUUCCGGAUUCGACGAUAAAAAGAGUAGUUUCUACACUCUUCUGAGUUACUCAACUCCCCUAAAGAAGCACUCAUUUCAUGUCCUUCAUUGAAAAGAUUAUGAAAAUAACCUCUCCAUCUGUCUUUAACCGCGUUCUCUGUAGCAAGAACCUUUCCAUCCUCAUCCUUGAUGCACCUCACUUGGUUUAGGUCCCUUGUCUUCUUUUCCCUUGCUCUAGAUAGUUUAUAGAUAUCCAACUCUCCUUCUUUGGUAUCUAGUCGUUUAUACAUAUCGUCGUAAGCCGCUAACUUAGCUUCUCUGACAGCUUUCUUCGCCUCUUGCUUCGCUUUUUCUAUACCUUUCACCAUUUUCAUCAGUCCUCUCCUUGUAUAAGGCUUUACAACAUUCCUUCUUAGCCUUCACCUUUGUUUGUACCUCCUCAUUCCACCACCAAGAUUCCUUUUGGUGUGGGGCAAAGCCCUUGGACUCUCCUAAUACCUCUUUUGCUACUUUUCGGAUACAACUAGCCAUGGAAUCCCACAUUUGGCUAGCUUCCCCCUCUCUAUCCCACACACAUUGGGUGAUUACCUUCUCUUUGAAAAUGGCUUGUUUUUCUUCUUUUAGAUUCCACCAUCUAGUCCUUGGGCACUUCCAAGUCUUGUUCUUUUGUCUUACUCUUUUGAUAUGUACAUCCAUCACCAACAAGCGAUGUUGAUUAGCCACGCUCUCUCCUGGUAUAUAACUUUGCAAUCCUUACAAGUUAUACGAUCCCCUUUCCUCAUUAGAAGAAAAUCUAUUUGUGUUUUUGACGACCCACUCUUGUAGGUGAUCACAUGUUCUUCUCUCUUCUUAAAGAAGGUGUUGGCUAAGAAGAGAUCAUAUGCCAUUGCAAAAUCCAAGAUAGCUUCCCCAUCCUCGUUUCUCUCCCCAAAACCAUGGCCACCAUGAAAACCUCCAUAGUUGCCUGUCUCCCUGCCCACGUGUCCAUUUAAAUCUCCUCCUAUAAAUAACUUCUCCGUCUGAGCAAUUCCUUGCACCAAGUCUCCAAGAUCUUCCCAAAAUUUCUCCUUCGAACUCGUAUCCAACCCUACUUGAGGUGCGUACGCACUAAUCACAUUGAUAAGUUCUUGUCCUAUUUACAAUCUUGAUUGCCAUGAUUCUAUCUCCUACCCUCUUGACAUCUACAACAUCUUGUACCAAGGUCUUGUCCACGAUGAUGCCAACACCGUUUCUCGUUCUAUUUGUGCCCGAAUACCAAAGUUUAAACCCUGAGUUUUCUAGAUCCUUUGCCUUACUACCAACCCACUUAGUUUCUUGUAGGCACAUAAUAUUUAUCCUUCUCCUCACCAUAACUUCCACUACUUCCAUAGAUUUUCCCGUUAAGGUUCCUAUAUUCCACGUUCCUAAACGCAUUUUGCUCUCUUGAACUCUACCCUUCUGUCCUAGCUUCUUCACCCUCCCCCGUCUAAUAGGAUCAAAGUACUUCUUUUGUGUGUCCCGGGUAAAGUUGAUAGGAGCAUAUGCUCCCAAACAACUUUGAGUGGAGUCGUUCGAAAAGAAGUUUCUAUGGCCCCCUUGCUCAUUUAACACUGCAUCCGGGUGCCGAUGGAGAUACAGCGACCCUUGCUCACUUAUCACUGUGCUCAGGCCACACAGCGCGCCACUUACGGGUGACGCCCUAGCUUUAGCGCGAUUUUGUUCUGGAUUCAUUUUCAUAAGGAUUCGACGUGAUCAUGGAGUGCCGGCUGUCGACUACCUGACGCCCUCCCCCUCCUCCUUUAUCCGGGCUUGGGACCGGCCAUGUAAGGACAAAACAAGCAUCACUCUUUUAAUAUGAUUAUUACUGAAAAUAACAAAACCUCCAUAAUAUAGAACACAGCUAGCUAUACUAAUCCCAGAAGAAAUCAAGGAUUACAAAAUAUUAUUGCCUAAAGAUUCUAAUAACUGAUGAUAAUCUGAAACCGAACCUUGAAAAGCAAAGCACGAUGUCGGGAAAGGCCAAUGGUUAUGGACCCAAUAGGCAAUACACUUGUUUGCAGAGAUGUCCUCAACUCUGUGCUUCUUUCCAUCCAUCUCGCUAAGACAACAUUUGCAUCCUUUACAGGCCCACCCAUACGUUCGCUAACGAGUUCAGCAAGCCUCAGAACCAAAACACCAACGUUGGUGACAGGACAGUCUAAAGCAAUACACUGUGCAAUUUGCACCAACUCUUCCAAGACAGGAUCAACUGUUCGAUUUACUAAUGAAACUUCAAAUCCAGAACUCCCAAAGUUUGUUUCAAGAUUUGUGAGAGAAGGCAUUUUUCCUUGAAUUGCUGAAUCUGUGGAAAGUCCAUAUACAUCAUAAAAUCCAUCAACCACUUUCUCCUCAUAGUCUAGCACAUUGUACUCCUGGUAUAAACAAGAGAAUACAAUCCGAAUCAAGAUGAGCAAAAGUAAAAACAAUGUCUUGAUAGUAGCAUAUACAAGCAAAACAAAAUGAAAAAAGUGGUAAAAAUACUACAUCUUUCCCUUAUCAACGGAAUCUACUACCACUAAUGGAGGAUUUUUCUAUUUGACACUGAACAAGUAAGAACUUAAAAAUUUAUAAUGAUGCUCUCAAAAGGCUGUCAUUGAUACUCUCUCACUAAACAAUCGUUUCUAACCCAGGACGCAAGACUAGGCUAAGAAAAAAUUGAGCUCAGCUACAUUUCUGCCACGCCUUAAACUACUCUACACGCCAACUUGUAUCCGAAUUUUAGCAGUGAGUUGACAUUCCAAAGUUUUAAACUUAUCAAAAGAUAAUUCACGGGUCAUUUCGAAAACUAGUAAAAACUCCAGAACAUUACAGACCAUAUGCUCAUACAGAUGAAUUCACUACUACACUAUUAGCAGGAUUCUGAUAGUGCAAAAGACCAGAUCUUUCUCUUACUUAAAAAUGAAUUGAGCAAAUUCCAAACAGUCAACCUUACUAUGACAACAGUCAAACUUAAUUAACAGUAAAAUUUGCUUUGCUAAUCCCAAAUCAAACGCAAAUUUAACAUAAUUAACAACCAAUCCAUGCUGAUACACUACAAUCAACUACUAAUUUAUGGUAAAAUUGACUACAAAAGUGACUAAAUUCGAACAUAAAAACUUCACCAAACUCACCCAAUAGUGCCGCGACAAGGUCUCCGCCGCCGCCUCAACCUUAUCUCUUGAAGAAUCGAUCGGAUUGCCGCCCAAGCUCAGCAGCGUCGCCGCGCGGAUCUGAUCCUUCUCCGGAUCAUCCCUAAAGUUCGAAUUCGAAGCGCUGAUCGCCAGGGCGAGCUGGACCUGAUACUCCUCUUCCGACAUCAUAAAGUCCGACCGAUUCACAGUCGUCGACUCCACAGUGCCACCUCCCCCAGCUGCCACGGUUCCCGCCGGCGUCGGCGAAGACGAUGAAGGACUCGCCGGAGCGUUUCCGGAAAUCUGACCCGACGCGGUCCGGUGAUCGGAGGCGCACGACGGCGAGGCUACGGAGGAGGAGGAGGCCGCGGCGGCGGCGGCCUCGUUCGAUCGGGUCGGGUCGUGGUUGCUCCCUAUGUGAAGCUUCUUGAAAAUGUGCUUCAUCGCUUUAUCUCUCUUUCUCUCUCUUCUUUCUUUCUCUACCUUCUCCGCCAGCUUGAAAUCUUCUCGGCGUUUCUCUCACUUUCUUUGUCGCUCGAUUUUUUCUGUUUGGUUUGUUGGUGGUCAGAGAAGCGCGUUCUCGGAGGGAAAACUGACGGGCGCUGUGGGUGUUAUACGUUCGCCGGUAACUUAACGGGCGCUGUCUUUAUCGAAAUUACGGGAUUGACCCACGGGGAUUUGUAAACGAUCUUGUGCCAGUGAAGAAAUUUUGAGUUGUGACGGAACAUUGUUUUAUGUGAGUGAUGGAAAAUUUUAAUUUUUAAAUUAUUAUUAUUUUAACAUAUAUCUUACCAUUUAUAUGGAGACACGUGCUGUACCACCUCAUGUGAUAGUUACACUGAAAAAUAUCUCGUGUGAGUGGAGAGAUUUUUCCAAUGUGACCAAGACACAGGUUGGUAUACCAUGUGUCACUAUACAAAUUGUGGAAUAUAUAUGCUUAAAAGUUAAUAACUUAAAAAAAUAAAAAUAUCAACUUUUUCUAUUAAAACACCUGAUAUACCAUUUAUGUUCCCGUCACAAUUAAAAAUUUCUGAUGCGAGUGGGCCACCGUGACGAGCUUAUGACCUACAUGGCGAUGACGUCCACGUCAGAGAGAGGUGCCUAGAAUUUUCGAGGGGGUUUAUGUUGACAGUAAACGCGGUUAUCUUGGAAGACGGAAGUGGCCUUUAUUUUGUUUGUUUUUGGGGAAGUAAUACCCUCCUUUUGGAAAUUAUCAAGAGUUUUUCUUCCUAUAUUAUAGACAAAAAUAUUUAUGCAGAUGGAUUUAUUCUUUUUCAUUUUUUUUUGGUGAAUUUUUUUUUGGUAAUAUAAAGUUUAGGGAGAGAGGAGGCUACCUCAUUUCACGACCAGAGCAUACCAUAAGUCUUAGUUACUUUUUUGAUUUUUACAAGUUGUCCACUAAGAGGGAUUGCCUUGCGAGGACAAUGAUCCUUACAAACUCAAUACCAUAUGUUUGGACCCAAAAUUAUACCAUCGGUUUGUGCAAUUAAGGUCGUUGAGUGAGCACAGUUCCACACCAUCUGAUGAAAAAGUGAAGAUAAUUUUGUUAUUAUUAAAGGAUAUUUUAUGAUCUUUUAAUAACAAAUUAUCUUGAUAUUCUCUUAUACGGGAUAAUAAGAUGCAAAUUAUAUCUCCAAGCAAGCCGUACAGUUCAAAUGGACUUGGGAUUCUUGUUAUCAGAUUGGAGCAGCAUGAUGGGUUUGAUUAGAAUUGUCAAGAUGCAUGGUCUUCAUGUAUGUGUGGGAUGCCAAGAUGAAAUCAACAUGGAAUGUCCCCCAUGUGUGUUUGGAGUCGGUCAACCAUGCAUAUAGGUUAUUUUGGAUAAUAGCGAUACCUGAUGAUCACCAAAAAUAAUGAAGUGGCAUAUUUUAGUUCAGGAUAAUUAUUAGCACAAAUAUAUGCUAAUAAUUAGCAUAUUCUUCAGGGAUGAGCACGGCAUGGGCUAAAGUGUUUAAACUUUGGCGAUGCGUGCACUUGGACGCAUAAAUUGGCACUAACAUUGCAUGGUUCCUCAUGAUGCUAUAGAAAAAGUUUCAUGUGCAUGCAAAUUAGUCUGAUUCCAUCAAAUCCAACAACCAAUGGUCAAUGAGGAUGGGUCAUUGUCAAGCGGUCAAUUAACGAAUAGGAUAGCUAUCAAGAGUUUUAUUAUAUCAACUGCUUAUCUUCAGGAGAUUCAAGUUGUGGCCAGCUAUAGAUGUUCCAUGAGAAACACAAGCAAAUAGUGCUAUAAAUACAUGAGGAUGUGCAACGUGAAGAGCCCUCUUCAAUUUAACACACAAAAUGCCGUGCGCAAACUCUCGCUUUAUGAGAAACCGCUCAACAACCUUGAGAUUUUUAUUUCUUUUUCCUGCCGACACAUCUUCAGUUUGGAUAAACAGCACUAUGAAGGUAACCGGCGACAUCUUCAGUUUGGAUAAACAACACUGAAGCCAUAGAAUCAGCCGAUUAAAUAGCACAUUCAGUUUUGAUAAAUAGCAUUGCUUCUCGGCCGACUGAUUACCUAUCCAAGUCUUGGUCGACAAGGAUUUUUUAGUCCUUGUUGGUAGAGGUCAUCUCAUCAGCCUUCUUGGCGAAGUGAGGUAUUACCAGGUUAUUACAUUCGGCACAUUGAAAGUCGAAUUUGAUAUUGAACUUCGCAAAACUAGCAACCUUGUCUUUAGGCUCUAGAACCCGAAGGCCGAGACGUGUUCCUUUCUCGACUGCAGUCACAAGAUCAAGAAGUCAGUAGCGUGCCCAACGCAACAUCAACACAUUUUACUCUCCAGCCGAACUUAGCCGACGAGUUGGCACUCCUCGCACACAACUGAAGGACGUAGUUUGCUUGUUAAAUACUCAGCUUGCACGCCACGUAGGCUUAGUAGUUUUUAUGGUCAACAUCAACAUACCAUCUUCAGUGUUAAACUCUAAUUUUUUGUAUUAAGUGAAUAUGACCUACAGUUUUUACACAACUCAAGUAGUUGGACAACUAUGUGUACUCUGGCCUCCAAAAAGGUGAUUAUUUUAGCAAAACUACCAGCUAAUCCCUUUUUCUAAAAGAAAAGUAGAUGCCACCAAGUACUACGGUUUAAUAAUAUUCAUCUUCAUUUGUAAGUGAGAAGUCUUAGGUUCGAUUUUAACCAAAAUUGAAUUUAAACCACAUUAUUGCUAGUCCAUUGUGAGGCUAAGCUCACAUCAUCUCUCUUAAUAUAGAUAAUAUCGUUUGUUAAAAAAAAAAAUAGUUGGACUUUUUUCGAGUUAGAUGGUUAUGAUGGAUAAUACAAAUAUUUAUAAGAAAAAUAAAUAAAUACUAAUAAAACAACAAAAGUGCCGAAAUUAUUUUUCUUUCAUUAUUUAUAUAUAUAUUAUGUACACAUUUAUUCAAAACUUUAUUACUUCAUUUACCAUUAUAUCCUUUCGCAUUGUCAGUCACUGACUCACUGCACCCUCACCCACGCAGCGGAGCUAGGAAUGUCGGAGUGCACCACAAACAACAGAUAAUAACCCGGUGGCGCAAUCUCCGCAGUCGACGGCCCCACCAAGCUCACCCUAUACGUACCCGCCGCCACGUGCGUCACUCCGAUCAGCUUCAAUACCACCAUCCUCUGAUUCAUCGCAAACGAGUGCGUCGUAAACGACGGAGCAACCAAUCUCGCCGACAAAACCCUCACCGACAGAAACUCCGGCACCAAUAUCUCGACAGAAAUCAACUGCCGGUACCCGAAAACAUCUUCUAUCGCAGCUAUCCUCGGCCGAACCGGGUCGUACUCAUCCGACAAAUACGGCGGUGAAAACGCCUCCAGGCUCAGAUCAGUCGGGUACUCGACGCCAGUGAAGUUGUAGUAAAUGUGCGGAUUGCUUCCGCCAACCAAAAUCCGGCCGUCAGGUACCAGGACCGCCGCGGAAUGGUACAGUCUCGCUCUCGACGAACCGGUCAUAACCGAAAACCUGCGGUUCAGAACCUCUGACGGCCGGUAAAUGACUGGUGUGGUAACCGGAUCGCGCCCGUUUUCCCAACCGGCCGCUCCCAGUGCGGCACCAUUUAUGAUGAUGACGUCUCCAGUCGGCAGAAGAAGCAUAUCAGCCAUGACUCGAGGAACCGGCAUAAACUCCACGACCCACCUCGGGUUCGGGUCAUACACGUUGAGCCGCCCGCAGGUGCCAAGAGCGCUAAUAAACUCUCCGUGCAACGCGAGCACGUGCGAGUUCCGCGGCGUGCCGCCGCAGACCAUUAUCUCGACUUCCAUGUUGCCGUUGCUGGGUGUGUUUUCGUCUAGUGGAAGCAGAACUGACGAGCCCGUGCUCGGAUAGUUACGUGGGUCCCCGCCGGGGAUGUCGGGGAGCUCUCGGACGACGGCGUUUUGGCUGUAAUCGAAGAUUAUAGAUUUUGCGUUGGCGAAAAUAAAUAAAUUUCCGUCCGGUAGCAAGUGGAGAAAUGGAUACAAAUUGUUCUCGUCUUGGUCCGUAGUUUGUCUCAAAAAUUCGAGCCAGAUUGUGUGGGGCCCACCUUGGUUUUGGGAACUCCGAGGAUAAAACUCGUAAUUAAAUUGCCGGCGGCCACCGACAAUGAUUACACGGCCGUCCGGUAGUAUUUGAUUAGUAGCGUACCACCUACGUUGUAUUAAAUAGUUCGGGAGCUCGAGCCAAUCACAAUUGUCGUUGUUGCAUGGGGAGAACGUGCGGACGACGCGGUCGCCGUCGUUGUAUCCGCCGGUCUGUACGAGCGUUCCGUCGGGAAGGAUGGAACCGGAGGAGCACCAUGUAUCGGUGUGGACGGUGAGGGGGCGGAAUGUGUUUGAGCCGAGGUCAUAGAGGAUGGAGUGAGCCGUGCAGUCUACUUUGAGGACGGUGUCGUUGGGGUCGCGGCGGCAUUGGCCUCGGGGGAGGGAGAUGUUGGAAGGGCCGUAAUCGGUGCGGUCGAACAUGAUAACUUUGUUGGUACGUAGGAGUUGCAUGUGCAUGGCGGAGAUGCCGACGGAGGAGUGGAGGAGGUGCCAUUGGCCUUGGUUGCCGGAGGAGGGACGGAGAUCAGUUAAUUGGGAUGAAGUUAUUGGAAGAUUGUAGAUUAUUUGUGAGGUUAAAAUUAGGAAGAAAAUGUGAAUGUUCAUAUUGUAGGGGUAGGUCAAAAGAUAGAGACGAAGAUUUGGAGGGCUUUAGUUGGGAACAACUCGUAUAAGUACAUAUAUAUAUAUAUGUGUGUGUGUGUGUGUGUGUGUGUAUGUGUGUGUGUGUGUGUGUGUGUGGUUUGGUGAUGGGAGAUUGUGGAGGAGGGUGGUGGAUAUCUUUGAGAGGGCCGGUGAAGUUUGCAGCUAAAACGGCGGAUGCAUUCAAAGAGUUGGAAGUGGAGCUCAAGAAGUAUGAUUACUAGCUAUAGCCUAUAGGCACCAACUUUCCAAGCUCGAAUUCCGCUCUCUCAUAUUUUCUUUGUCAUUGGAGAAAAACUUGUGUCCAACAGAUUCUUUACGGCUUUACAGAGAAUCGGAUGAGACAACGAGUAUAAAUAGAAGAAAUACAAUACAACAGUUCUUCUUUUUGUGUGUUACUGCAUAAUGACGUAGUUUGACUGAAAGAUAUUAGACUUAACCUUGCCAAAAUCAUUGGAAUUUCAAAAUUUGUGCUCACUCUCCUAAUUGAUGGUUGGUUCUUUAUGAAAUAGCAAAUCAGGCUUUAGUAUAGGCAAAAAAAAAUUAAUCAAGACAAGCUAAUUUUUAAAUAGAGAUGAGAUGAUGAGACGUUGCAUCCGUUUAUAGGUGGCUACUCUCUCAAUAAUGUACUUGGAAACUCAGUUUCUUAUUUUUAAACAAGAUGUCAAAAAUGUCAAUCGGAUAAAAAUAGAUAUUUACAAGAGCAAAAGUGACAUGAUGUCAAAUUGUCACAUAAGCUAUUAAAUUUGAAUUCGAUAUUUUGCUUUUGAUAUCUCAUUUGAAGAUGCUCGAUUUUUUAUCCGACUAAAACAAAACUUGGGCUAUAUGUAGGUACAUUUGACGAACUUGUUGGGACAGAAGUAGCAUCGGCGUAAACCUACAAACAGAUCGGAUUUGGAUCGGAUGGGCUUAAUCCAUAUUCGAUUCAUUAUAAUUGGAUUCGGGUCAUAUUCGGGUUAAGAGAACAUUGAAUAAUCUGUUAAUGAACAUUGUGUCACUUAAUAUAUCAUAUACAAGCAUAUAUGUGUUCAAAUAUAUAAACAACUAAAAAACUGUCCCGUCCCUUCCCAUCGCAUAAACAUUGCACCAAACAACAGACGGAACAAGGGUAAGUUAGUCAUUUAAUCUUUUGGUUCCAUUCGCCAUGCGCUUACAAAACCCAAAAUGAAACAACCAUCCCGUUCCAUCCUGAGCGUACCAAAUAUAGCACAGAAUCUUCGUUCCGUCCUGUUCUGUCUCGUCUGCAUACCAAACGGUACCAAAGAAACUCCAAUACAAUCAUGUAGUUGAGCUACAAGUUCUCAGAAAAAGUAAAGGGGAAAACAGGCGAAAUUCGACUAACCAACCAGCUAUGGACAUGAUCAAACAAAAUAGAUGAGAAACUCUACUCGACGGAGCGAAAUACAAAAUUUUUUAGGAAACACAAUUUAGAGUUCAACCUAAUUCCUUUUACCCCGAUUAUGUCUCGGUCCAACUACUUCCCAUCCAUCUUCUGUUUUAGCUGCUGGCUUGGGAGUUGGUUUACUGCUCGUCGCGUCUGCUGGAUCCAAAUUUGGCUGGGACUCUGGUAUGUCCACCAUCAUGUUUGAUGAACCAUCAGUUUCCUCGUUGUCAUCAUCAUCAUCAUCGUCGUCAUCUUCAUUCUCCUGAAAUGAUAAGGAAGCAAACGAAAAGAAAUGUAAGCAAUAUGAUUUCAAUAUAUAUACUCAUGACUUUGGAGCAUGCGUAUGACCAAUAAAGGUUCUCCAGCAUGAAUUGUUCCCAUGAUUCCAAUGUCCAGAAGGACUUCUCUUAAAUAGGAUAGAGCUACACAAGUUGAAUACCCGAAGAAAAUGCAUUCGCAAAGCAUUUGAAAGAUCUGAUUUCUUUACUAGAAUAGUUGACAACCUAAAAAAUCAUCAAGUAAGUUUAAUACGAGACGAUACAUCAAGAGAUCUUGCUACCUUCAUCACACAAAUUGCAAUAUAACGAUAAUUACCACCUUUUCCCUCUCUGAUUAGAGUUAGCCCUAGACCUCUGCUAUCAAAAUAAAAAAAACUAAGUGAUAGCACGAGAGGAUACUAAUCAUGGAAUGGGAGGCCUCUCAUCUCUUAUCAAGAGCUGCAAUUGUCAACUUAUAAGCACAGUUUCAAGCACAAUUUCAAGCACAAUUUCCAGUAUCACUCUUGAUACUUAAACGAUUAACUGACGUCUAAUUCAGAUCACGUUACAAACAAUUAUAAGUCCUCUUCAAAUAGACUCGUGAAGAACUGACUACUUACAACACAUUAGUGGUAAUAACUAAUAACAUGUGCAUCGUUUAUCGAAUAACACAGCCUCUUUUGUUAUGUCUACUCGAAAGAAAUUUAUCGUAUUCUGCUAAAAGCUAAGGGGAUUGAGUAUAAGUUAUAACUCACUUGUCUAACAUGAGGAACGGCAACUCUUCGACGAUUGGCAUCUCUCAAACUUUCAACAGAAUUGAAAUUGUCAGUCAAACAGUCAUCAUACAUAAACAUUAACUUUUCAGCCACCUGUAAAAGUCCAGAGAAGAAAAACGGAUUACAAACAUCAUCAAGACAGAAAACCAAUACUGAAAAACCGCAUCCCCGAUACAAAAAAAACUAGCCAAAUUGCAGCAAAAAUAUGCAGACAUACAUAAAUGAUAACUAUCAAAGGAAAAUCGCCAGGCUUCCGCUAAAUCAAGUUGACUAGCGCCAUGUGCUGCCCCUGUCAGCCAGGUUCGAUUCUCAUCCCCGUAGUAUAUAGUUAAAUUAAAAUUAGGGCAAUGUGCCACCCCUCUGCACCUAAGUUCGAAUCCCCUCCUCGCAGUAUAGUUUAAUGACGAGAAUUAGAUUAUCGCUCCAAUCAAAAACAAAAAAAAGGUCGUACCUUGUGCACAAGGCUCCCGCUUUACGCAAGCUCUGGGAGAGGUGAAUGUUAGUCUUACCCCCAUUUAUGGAGAAGCUGCUCCCAAGUCUCGAACCCGAGACCUACCCCUCAUGGGUGAAGGCACUUGCCAUCGCACCAAGUUCGACCUCUUCCAAUCAAAAACAAAAUCCGAGGAAAAUUGAAAUGGGUACUUAUGAAUUGAAGAGCAUUACCUCC
rnacentral:lncRNA from 1 species